UCAGAUAUGUGCUCUGCCCCUCCACUACAACAGAAUUAGGUUAUAGGGACACAUGUUUGGGACACUUUUGAGUAAGUGUCCCAUUUAUACUAAAACUUAAAAAAAUAUCUACUUAUGCCUAAAUAUAAAGCCCAAUCCAACCAAAAAUAAAAGAUUACUCUACUCAACCCACCACACCCAAUCCAUUGGACCCAAUUACAAACAGAAAAAAAAAAAAAAAAUCAAUUACCAUCUUUUCUUCUCUCUUCACUCAAUCCACUGAAAUUCUAGACGAAGAGCAUUUCCUGUCGUCCUCCUCCGCCACAGCAGCCAACGAGAUAAAGUUUCGGCGGUUGUUAAAUGUUUAAAUAAGUAUUGGUAAAUUAGCAGCACUCUUUUAAAUUAUAGCGACACACUUUAACUGUCACUAUAUAUCUAGCGACCCCACAUAUAGCAGCACUUUUUAAAAGUGCCGGUAAUUUUAGCUAACAGCACUUUUUUGACAUGUACUUACAUUUAAAAGUGUCGCUAUAGACCGCUUUUAUUGUAGUGCUCAUGCCAUGCAUGUAUGCGACAUCGCAUUAAUAGCAUGCAUGUUUAUACCAUGACAUGACGGAAUGGGAUGGCCAGGUCCACCAGGAGAGCCUGCAGAGUUGAUUUUGUUCUGAUUCCAUGCAUGGGAUGCAUCAUGCAUGUGCCAACUCCAUGCAUGGAGUUAGGCAUCAAUGAAGGGCAUCCAUGCACGUACGCAUGCAUGUAAUUAACAUGCAUGCAUACGCGCAUGACAUGAUCGACACUCUUGAUGCAUGAAGCAUUAUUCUUGUGCAAAAUAAUGAACUUUUUCUUUUUUUUCUUUUUUUUUUACCCUUUUUGUGUGGCUUUGGUUAUCCUAGUAAUUUUUUUUUUAUCUUGUAGAAUGUUUUCAACAAAAAUACAUGUUAGCAUCUUGUUCGAUUAUCCAAAAAUUCCUAGUUGAUCCAUAGAUAUAAGUUCCACAACACACACACCCAUUAAUUUUUCUCUUUGAUCUUGAUUCAUCGUAAUCCGGUAAGAAGAAUACAAACAAACUGCUCUAAAUAGUUGUGCUAAAUUCUAGCUCGGCAUAGACGGGAUAAUAAUUAAGCGCAUAAUUAGGACCCUAAUGAUCGGCUUCCUAGCUACUUAAAUAGUAGUGUAAUUAGAUCACUUAGUUCCUAUUUUGACUUGACCUAAUUAAUAAAGUUGAUGUAAAAACAUGUUGCCAAUCUCAUUACAUGCCCUCCAAUCAACUAAAUCAUGUUCAAGAUAUAAUAUUUCAUCUUUCAAAAUUAUGAUUGCGAUAAUCGCACAUACAAUGGACUACAAUCAAACUUUUAACUUGCAAUUAUUAAAUAAAAACAGAAAAAAAAAAUUACAACAUCGGACAAAAAGACAAAUACUCUCAACGAUCGAACAAGUAGCAGAACAACCUAAUGGGCAUGAAAUUUUGCGAACGCGCGGGUUAUCGCCGGCAUUUGCUAGCAUUGUUACAAUCUGCAUGUCAGCACACCAACAGUUUUGCAGAAAACAGUUGGUUCAGAACAUAUUGGCUAUAGCUAGCUCAGCACGUAAAGAUUUUUCUAUACGCGAACCCAUCUCAUAUAAUACGUAAGUCCAACGGCCGAAUGUGCCCGGUUGUUUUAUCUAUCACCAGACAAAAAGACAGAUACUUUUAACUAUCAAACAAGCAGCAAAACAACCCAUUGGGCAUGAAAUUAAAUUUUGCACACACAUGGGUUAAUUAUCACUUGUAUUGUUAUAAUAUUUGUAUGUCAGCACAUAAACAGUUUUUACAGAAAGCGGUUGGGACCCAAACCUUACGAUAAAGAAGAUGCUAGGGUUUGACUUGGCACGUAAAGCGAGCGAGCCCCUACUUGUGUACUUAGUUUGUGACUUUUGGUUCUUGGACCAUUAACACCGCACUAAAAUAUCUAGCCAGAACCUGCAGAGAAAGAGAGGCCCACAAAAUUUAAGUUGCAUGCUGUGUGUGGUUCGGACGUGGGACAAAGAAGAUGCUAGGGUUUGACAGGACAAAUUUUUAUUUUAAAAAUAGUCCUGUCAAAAUUUAAUUUGUAAAAAUGGUUCUGAGCCUGCCAUGCAGGCGCCACAUCAGCACCACGCGGGCAGGACUGGGCCCGUGAGUUAAGUUAAACACGAUGAACCAUUCACCGUGUUCAAACACGGUGAAUGGUUCACCGUGUUUAGUACGUAUUUUUUAUAACGUAUUUUUUGUAUAUUGAAAAGUGGAAUAAGGAGUAGGGAUGUCAAUAGAUAUGGAUAUCCGAAAUAUUAUCCGAAUUCAAACCAGAAUAAAUUACACACACACACAUAUAUAUAUAUAUAUUAUAUAUAUAUAUAUGAUAUAUAUAAAUUAUUUUUGUUUAUUUAUACAAUAUAUAAAAUAUUUAAUAAUUUUUAUUUCUUAGAUCUUCAUCCAACCCAGCGGGUUUUAAAAAUCUAUACCGUUGGAUGAAGAUCUAAGGAAUAAAAAUUAUUAAAUAUUUUAUAUAUUAUAUAAAUAAAUAAAAAUAAAUUACGUGUGUGUGUAUAUGUAUAUAUAUAUAUAUAUAUAUAUAUAUAUAUAAAUUUAUUCGGGUUUGGAUUCGGAUAAUAUUUCGAAUAUCCAUACCUAUUGACAUCCCUACUUCUUAUUUCACUUUUCAAUAUGCAAAAAAUACGUAAGAAACACGGUGAACCAUUCACCGUGUUUAGACACGGUGAAUGAUUCACCGUGUUCAACUUAAUACCCUGGCUCCAGCCCUGCCCGCGUGGCGCUGACGUGGCGCCUACGUGGCAGAGACAGGGCCAUUUUUGUAAUUUUAAUUUUGAUAGGACUAUUUUUAAAAUAAAAAUUGCUCAGGGGGCUAUUUGCAAAAAAAGCCCCUGUGCUAAUAUGUGUCAAAGAGAGUGUUAAGAUAAUAGUUCUGAUUCGGGAGAUGACAUGCUCUCCCUCUAGGACAAACCUUUGGCUACGCCUGGUGGGCAGUCGACGAUGUCUCGACUUUCUGAGCUGGCUGCUGGUUGGUGGGUCACUUGGGAAGUAAGGAAUAGUGUAAUCUUUCGAUCGGUCCCACCGAACCCGAACCUAGCCGUGUUUAAGAUCAAACAGUUGUCGACCUCGUGGGAGCAAUCCUUCUCUACCGGUUAUGAUCUAACAGUUGGUGAACACGUGAGAGCAAUUCUUUCCCGCUGUUUUUUUUUUUUUUUAACCCCUUUCGAGGCCUUGCUGCAUGUAGCUUAAUUCUCCGUUCUAAUAAAUGAAGCGGAUAAUAUGCUAUCUUUUCCUCCAAAAAAAAAAAAAAAAAAGUUCUGAAAUCUUGACCUCUAUAUAAUGUAGAGGCUAUUUUCACCAAAUGGCUUAAGUUUUUCAAGUUGGAUCUGAGUCUCUUAAAGCUAGUGUAAAAAUCAAGAGAUGUUAACGGGUAUAGAUAUCCAAAUCUAGACGGGAAAGACCUAACCAAUGUCAAAUCGGUACGGUUUCAAGGUAUAAAACUAAAAAAAUUCGACGUAGUCGGAUAUAGUUUUUAAUUAUACCAACCUAAAUUCGAACCCAUAUCGAAUCCGAAAAGAUUUUAUAUAUUACAUGACUUUUAAUUUAUAAUUUAAAAAUUUACAUUUGAGUAUGAUAUAAUUUGAAAUUUGGUUAAAAUAAAAAAAAAAGGAUUGCUUUUGGUUUUCCCUUCUUUUUGUCAGGUUUGUUUUUAGUUAUGAAUUUUCGAAAAGCGUUGAGUUUUAGGAAUUUCGCAGAUCCAAUGUUUGGAUGUUGCCAUUGUCGUAGAUUUUCUGAUGAGCUUACCUAUUUACGACCGUUUAGAUUAAUGAAUUUGUGAUUAAUUCGACUGUCAUAUUAAUUUUGCCAUUCAUCUUGAAUAUACUGAAAAGCUCUGACAAGCAGUCACGAACUUAAAUUCUCUAAAAUAAAUUUUUUUUUCUAAAAAUACUUCAAAAUGAUCUUCCUACAAAAGAUCCAUAUCUAGUUUAUGACUAGAUGAUAAAUUAAUCUCUGCUGCAUUAUGAUAAUUGACGGUAAGGUAAAUACAUUUUAAUCGUAUUAAACUUAAUUUUCAACUAAAUUAUAAUUGUGUCAAUCCAAAUGCUCCUUGAUCGGGAUAUCGAGUUCGACAAACUUGCUCGUACAACGAGGUGCAAUGAAUUUAUCAAAAAAGUGGUCCAAAACUUUUUUUUAAAAAAAAGAAAAUCCAAAAGGCCAAUUUGCAUAAAAAAUUCACUUAUUUUGGGCUUUUGUAAAACCGGGCCACCUUUUUCGUUUUUGCAUAUUCGGUACGCUUUUUCAGCAAACUGACCAAAAUACCUUUUUUACUUUUUCUUUUCUUUUUCUCUCUCCUCUUCGUUUCUCUCGUUCUUCUUUUUUUUCUCGCCGGCAGAGCGGAGGCGGAAACGGUCCGUCUAGCCCUCGCCCUUGCCCUCAUCCACGCACCCCCCACCUUCCUCACCUCCAACCCCGCCAAGGCCGCGCCGCGACUUUUUUUUUUUUGCUUUUUUCUUUUCUUUUCUUCUCCAACUCUUCUCCACCGUCUCCGACGACGACGCCUCUCUCGUCCUUCCCCGCCCUUCUCAUCUCUCCCUCUCCCUCAUUCUCUACCGCAUCCGACAACGAUGCAUCUUCGCCGGCGCCGACGUCGACACCGUGGAGGUCAUUGCGGCGAUACAGGCUCGGAGCGGGGGUCCUUAGCGGCGUCGUCGCCGGCACCGUGGCUGUUGGCAGAGAGGAUGACAAAAAAAAAAUUAUAGAAAAAAUAGAAAAAAAAAAUAAAGAUAAAAAAUUAUAUAAAAAGAAGGAUGAACAUGAAAUUGUAUCGUUAACUGUAAAAAAAAUUAUAAGUUGCACUACUUAAGAUGUAAACUGCAGCUUUAAGAUGAAAACUACACUCUUUAAACGAAAAUUACACUUUUUGAGAGAUAUUUACACUGUUUCUCUUCUUAUUACAUUCUUUCAGAUGUAAACUGCAUCCAUUAAAAUGAAAGUAGCACUUUUUAAACAAAAGUUGUACUGUUUCUCCUCUUGUUACACCAUUUCUCCUCUUGUUACACUGUUAUUUAUUUUAAACUGCACCCUUUUAAGAGAUAUUUAUACUAUUUCUCCUCUUGUUGCACUAUUUCUGUAUAAACAAGAGGAGAAAUAGUGUAACAAGAGGAGAAACUGCACUGUUUUAAGAGAUAUAUAUAUCGUUUCUCCUCUUAUUGCAUCAUUUUUGUGUAAACAAGAGGAGAAAUAGUGCAACAAGAGGAGAAACUGCACUGUUUUAAGAGAUAUAUCUACUGUUUCUUCUCUUGUUGCAUUGUUUCUCCUCUUAUUGCACCAUUUCUGUGUAAACAAUAGGAGAAAUAGUGCAACAAGAGGAGAAACAAUGCAAUAAGAGAAAAAACUGUACCCUUUUAAGAGAUAUUUAUACUGUUUUUUCUCUUGUUGCACUGUUUCUUCUCUUGUUGCACCAUUUUCUGUGUAAAUAGGAGAAAAAAUAGUGCAAUAAGAGGAGAAACAGUAUAAAUAUCACUUAAAUAGAUGCAGUUUAAGAUAAAAAAUAGUAUAAUUUUCGUUCAAAGAGUAUAAUUUUUAUCUUAAAGCAGCAGUUUACAUCUUAAAUAGUGCAACUUAUAAUUUUUUUUGUAAUUAAAGAUGCAAUUUCAUCUUCAUCCUUCUUUUUAUAUAAUUUUUUAUCUUUAUUUUUUUUUCUGUUUUUUCUAUAAUUUUUUUUGUCACCUUCUCUGCCAACAGCUAUGGCGCCGGUGACGACGCCGCUAAGGACCCCCCGCUCCGAGGCUGUAGCGCCGCAGUGACCUCUACGGUGUCGACGUCGGCGCCGGCGAAGAUAAAUCGUCGUCGGAGGCGGCAGAAAAUGAGGGAGAGGGAGAGAUGAGAAGGGCGGGGAAGGGCGAGAGGCGUCGUCGUCGGAGACGGUGGAGAAGAGUCGGAGAAGAAAAGAAAAGAAAAAAGCAAAAAAAAAAAAGUCGCGGCGCGGCCUUGGCGGGGUCGGAGGCGAGGAAGAUGGGGGGUGCAUGGACGAGGGCAAGGGCGAGGGCGAGAGCAUGAGGGUGAGAGGUAAGACGAACCGUUUCCGCCUCCGCUCUGCCGGCGAGAAAAAAAAAGAAGAGAGAAACGAAGAAGAGAGAAAGAGGAAAGAGAAAAAGUAAUAAGAGUAUUUUGGUCAGUUUGCUGAAAAAGCGGACCGAAUCUGCAAAAACGAAAAAGGUGGCCCGGUUUUGCAAAAGUCCAAAACAAGUGAAUUUUUUAUGCAAAUUGGCCUAUCCAAAAUUGCAUGAGCAAAAUUAAAAUAAAAUUAUAAUGUAUAAAAAUCUCUACAAAAGGCAGAGCAAAAAAAAAAAAAAGAAAAAGAAAAAGAAAAAAGGUCCACAACAUUCCAAGCUAGAAGACAAAACAAGGAGUAAUGGCGUGGGGCGGGCGCGGGUCAGAGCUUGUCGGGGCAGGGCGUGGCACCCGAGAUCCGGUCGGGGAUUUGGUUCGGGCCGGUUCGGGUCGGCACCAAUUCCUGUCGGGUCAAACCCCAAAUCCGAACAAAAAAGAAAAAGGACACCUAUGAUGUGACACAUCCUCUUCUUUCAAAAAGUUAAUAAAAAAAAUAUAAUAAGAUAAUUAGUGAAUAAUAAAUAAAUAAAUAAAUAAAUAAAUAAUAAUAGAAAUCUGGGUGUCUUUUUUGUCCUUUUAAGAAAAAAAAUGUACUAAAAAGCUUAUUAUUUUUUAUUCUAAUUGUGAUAAUUAAGCAAUAUGAUAGGAAAAAAAAGGUGAAAACAUUUUUAGAUAUUAAUUUUUUAAAAUAUGUUAAAAUAGAAAACGAUAAUUUCAAAGCUUUGGUUCGGGGAUAAGCAAAAAAUGGCUAUUUCAGGGAUAGGUAUAAAUUGAGGUAUAAGCGGUGAUUAGAUAAAUUUUGCGUUUAGAUGAAAAUUGAGUUAUUCCUGGGAAUAAAAAAAAUAAUGUUUGGUUAGAUAAGAUGAAAUAAAAAAGAUAGUGAGUUUUUAUAAAUAAAAAAUAAUCAUAUUAUCCUCUUAUUAUAUUUGAAUUUAAAUUUUUAAAUUUUUAGUUUUAAAUUUAAAAUUUUAACUUUGAAAUUUCAAAUUUUAAAAUUUCAAACUUUAAAUUUAAGAUCAAAUUUAAAUUUGAAAAAUAUAAAAUAUAAAAUUUUAAAUUUCAAAAUUAAAAUAUCAAAUUUUAAAUUUUAAAUUUACAAUUUAUAAUCUAUAAUUUAAAAUUAUAAACUUUAAUUUUGAGAUUAUAAAUUAUAAAUUUUAAAAAUUUAAAUUUAUAAUUUUAAAAUUUUAAAAAUAAGAAUAGGGGUGGGAGCAAUUAAUAAAAAUAAUUUAUUAUAAUAAAUUUAUAUUUUUUUAAAAAUUCUACUUAAACUUAAAUUUAAUAAAAAGAAUUUAUUAUAAUAUCUAGAUUUAAAUAAUAUGUAUUAAUAUAGUACAAUUAAUAAUUUUAUAAUAAACUAAUGUAUUAUAAUAUAUAACAUAUUAUAUUUAUAUAAUUUUGUUUUAAUUCAAUUUAUAAUUUUAAUUAAGUUUGAAAUGAAGCAUUGGAAUAGCACCAUUUCACCAAGAUGGAGGAAUAGUAAUUCUCUUGCUAUUCCAGGAUAACCGGAAAUAGCAAGGUUUGAUCGGGAUAAAAUAUUCCGGUCAAAUUUCACUCCGUUUAGCAGAAUAGUGGGGAUAACUUUCGUUAUCCCCGCUUAUCUCCCAAACCAAACGGAGUCUUAUAGAAUAACAUGUAAUACAAAUGAUUAAAAUGAGUCUGAUUGUCGAAAUAAAAGAAGUUCGGACAUCUAUUUACCGAAAUGCUAAAAUUUAAAAUAUUUUUACAAAUUUCUUUUUUAAAAGAAUUUAUAAAAAUUACUAUCAUGCUCUGUGGCUCAAAUCUCUUUUUUGUCCCCAUCCCCAACAUCCAAUUCUCCAAAACCCUGCACUUGCUCCUCACCUCACCAAAAGGGCAAAAUGUAUUCAACACUCACUUUUUCCCCUUUUUUUGUUUCAUUAUAUAUAAGAAUAUUACUGCUUCUAUGUAGAAUUACUAUAUUGUAAAUAAUGAUGUAAAAGAUUAGCUAAAUUACAAAAAAAAAUUUAUAUAAAUAUCCAUUUUUUCACUUUUUCUUCAUAACUUUCAAAUUUUAUAUUUUAUUCCUCAACAUUUCAAAUUGUUGCAUUUAUCCCCACUCCAUCAGGAUUUCAUCACUAUUCUGUCUAUUUUUUAUAAUUUAUACCGAAAAUGUCCUUCAAAAUAAUUAAUGUAUAGAAGAAGUAAGGAAAAUUUGGUUAUUUUGCACUCUCCAUUAAUGCCUAUUCUUUUUGAUAAUAUUUUUGAAAUUGUAAGGGGACAAAAUAUAGAUUUUUGAAAGUCAAAAAAAAAAAAGAAGAUAUUUAUAAAAAAAAAGCUUUCCAUAUUUUAGCCUAAAAAAAUUUGAUUGAUGUAUAUAAAUAGUCGGAAAUAUUGUAAAUGUGAAUUCGACAACAUAUCAGUUAACACUAUUAUAAAUUUAACAACAUACUACUCUUAUUAACUAUUAAAUUUUACCGUAUAUAUAUAAUGGAAAAAAUAGAUCUUUAAUUAAUUCAGAAGAAUUCGGUAACACAUAAAUUUACGGACACAUCUUUAUAAUUAUUGUUUUGAAUCAUUAUCCGAAAAUUCUUCAAGUCCAUCCUAAUCUGCAGUACCGACAAAGAUUGAAGAGUCAAAUCUCAUAAAUAUGCAAGUACAGAAUCCGAAUUCCUGCCAUAUGUAAGAAACUUUGCAAGACAAAAAUCACUGCACAUUAAUUUCACAGAGGAAAACAAUUUUUCAUUUUUUCCUACACAACUACAUUUUAAUGCUCAACAACAACAACAACAACAACAACAACAACACGAAUCUCUCUCUCUCUCUCUCUCUCUCUCUCUCUCUCUCUCUCCUCUGAUUGUUUUUAUGGUCUUUUCACAGCCACAAAUCUACCUGAGUGGUCAAACUGCAGUUGCUCAGAAUUUUAGGUCAGAUGAAGGGAUUGGUAGGUCCCUGGCCUGCUGUGCUUAAGUGGAUCAGCUCCAUAACCUUUUUCUUUUUUUUUUCUUUUUUUUUUUACAUUAUAUAGAUGGGUUGGUUUUGAUAAUGAUGGGCUUGGGUUGAGUUAUAUAGUUAACUAGGUUGGUUUGACUUGGGUGGGAAUGACACGAUAGGUUUAACACUCUUACGAGGCUUACCGACCAUUCCUAGCGCAAAUGGCAAAAGAAUUUAAUGAUUGGUAUUCGAAAUCCAAGUUCGAAUCUUAAUUGAUUCAUAUUUUCAGCUAAAUUUAUUUCUUGAUGAAAUAAAUGAAACGGAUAGCAUGCUAUAUUUCUCUCUCUCAAAAAAAAAACAACACUCUUACGAGACUUAGUUUUUGUUGGAACUUCGCUUUUGUUUUUAUCUCCAGUAAUAGUUAUAUUCAACAGGAUAUUUAUUAGAUAAAAAAGUUGACUACUUGUGUCAUAAUAAAACAAGGUACAUAUGAAGCUUUAAAACAAAAUUUUUAAUUUGGUAUAUGCUUUAAACUAUAUAUAUAUAUAUAUAUAUAUAUAUAUAUAUAUAUAUAUAUAUAUAUAUAUAUAUAUAUAUAGUCACUACAACAGAAUUAGGUUAUAGGGACACAUGUUUGGGACACUUUUGAGUGAGUGUCCAAUUUAUACUAAAACUUAAAAACACAUCUACUAAUGUCUAAAUAUAAAGCCCAAUACAACCAAAAAUAAAAGAUUACUCUACUCAACCCACCACACCCAGUCCAUUUGGCCCGAUUACAAACAGAAAAGUAAAAAAAAAAGAAAAAUCAAUUGCCAUCUUUUCUUCUCUCUUCACUCAAUCCACUGAAAUUCUAGACGAAGAGCAUUUACUGUCGUCCUCCUCCUCCACCGCAGCCAACGAGAUAGAGUUUCGACGGUUGUUAAAUGUUUAAAUAAGUGUUGGUAAAUUAGUAGCACUCUUUUAAGUUAUAGCGACACUCUUUAACUGUCACUAUAUACCUAACGACCCCACAUAUAGCAACACUUUUUAAAAGUGUCGGUAAUUUUAGCUAGCAGCACUUUUUUGACAUGUACCUACAUUUAAAAGUGUCGCUAUAGACCGUUUUUUUUGUAGUGAGUCCGGCUACUAUACUCUUAUGAGUACGAUCGUCCUCGUACUCAUAAGUUAUUUUCAAUGAUGGAGCUUUUGAAUCGACGAUCCAUACCGUUAAACAUUAUCUAAAGCAUUUAAAACUUAUAGAAAUCAAAUUUUAUAAUUUUUCGAUAUCAUUUAUCUUACGAUCAAAAGCUCACAAAAAUAAAAAUUUUUAAUGGCCGGUAUGGAAUACUUGCUAGUUUAACGGUAUAAAAAAAUCGGAAUAGGUUGAAUUUUUGAUAGAAAAUUCUAUUCACUACCUAGAUAAAGAUCAAUAACUCUGAUUUUAAAUUGAAAGAUCCGAUCAUCCAAUUUUAGGAUGUCGUUCGAUUUUGACCAUUCAUUUAUACCCGCUUGAUGGACUUUAUAAUGAUUUCAAAAAAUUACGAAAUUUAUUUUUUAAAAGUUUCAAAUACUUAGAUCAUGUUUAACAGUGUGGAUCGUCCAUUCGAAAACCGCAACAUCAAAAACAACUUAUGAGUAGGAAAGGCUAUAUAUAUAUAUAUAUAUAUAUAUAUAUAUAUAUAUAUAUAUAUAUAUAUAUAUAUAUAUAUAUAGUAGAGCUAUUAUGUUAUCGGAAGUAUUGAUUAUCUAGUACUUCCGACUUUUUGGCCCUUAUAUCAAUUCCUUUAAGCAUUUCUAACUUUUAGAUUAAUACUAUUACUCUGUGAGGACCGUUCAACUCUAUAGUUACUACUCAACCAUAUGAGGGACUGCAAUCAUCUCAACCCUACACUAUAUAUACUAAGACUCUAACAGUAACUAGCAUCAAAUAGGCGAAAAUGAUAUAAUAAAAAUUUCACUCACAUCUAUACUUAUACAUUAUUUUUCAUACAGUUCAUCACGUGACAAUUCCUUCUUCACCUCCCUUCCCAUUUUCUAAUUAAUAUAUUCACUGAUCUAUUUUCAUCUAAAUAAAUUGCUUUCACAAACAAAAUAUUAAAUAAGGUUUCUUCAUACUUUUUUUUUGCUUUUUUUUUUGUGCACAAGAAUGGUUCAUUUUUUGUAUUUCUUUAAUUUUUUUCUCCAUUUUUUAAAAUUGUGUGGAUAUUGAAAUUAGGAUUCCGAGAAUCGCGGCGGCACGGCAACAUGAAGUGGCGAUGGAUUUGGAGUCGAUGAAGGGAAAGAAGCGGUGGGUACGGAAGGAUCCGUAAGGCAUCGACGUGGCUAUGACUAAGGAGAAGCUCGAUGCCGACAAUGGCGGUGGAGGCAACAUGGAGAACGGUAAUGCCUCUCCGAUCUCGGCAACGCGAUCAAGAUGCGAAUUGAAUGGUAACUCUAUUACUACUUCUUUCAUUAUUAUUAUGUGUAAUUAUUUGCUUUUAUAAAUUUUUCUAUAUUUAUAAAUAUCUGUUUUAUAUUUUCUAUUUGUAUUUAUUGAUAUCUAAUUACAAAUCAAAAAAUUUUAAAACUUUAACUUUGUCAAUCUUUUAUCUUCUAAAGUAUUAGCCCGCCGCAAUGCAAAAGUAACUUCACUAGUGUAUAAUGAAUGUGAAAAGGAUGCAAAAAUGGUCCAACAUUAUAUUUAACACUUAUAAAUUUUCUUUGUAGUGGGGUUCUCAUCCAAUGGGUUGGAUUUGUUAAAUAUAAAAAUAUUUAACUUCACUAGUGUAUAAUGAAUAUGAAAAGGACACAAAAAUGGUCCAACAUUAUAUUUAACACUUAUAAAUUUUCUUUGUUGUGGGGUUCUCAUCCAAUGGGUUGGAUUUGUUAAAUAUAAAAAUAUUUAAACACCGUUCUCUGGCAGUUUAAGCUUUUAGAGUACAACGGUUGUUUCACAUGGUAUCGAGGAGGAGGUUCUGAGUUCGAGUCACGCAAAAAAAAUAAACAAAGUCUCGAGCCCACGUCAUGGGCCGACUAAAAAGUCCAUGUCAUGGGCCGACCGUUCUCUAGCAGUUUAAUUCAAGCCCACGUCAUGGGCCGACUAAAAAGUCUCGAGCCCAGACGUGAGGAAAAUUUAAAUAUCGUUCUCUAACAGUUUAAUCUUUUAGAGUACAACUGUUGUUUCACAGGAUUCAACUUGGUAGUUUUUUUUUUUUUUUAAUACCAAUUUCAAAGCCUUUUUUUUCAAGGCACUACACAAAAAAAAUAAACAAAGGGGAAUAAUUGAUUUGGUGAAGCAUGCUCUUUGUGAGAUAUCAAUUUAACUUGCCAUUUCCUAAAAUUUCGACGAGUUGUUGAUCAAUCUAAUACAAGUGGCAGAGCUUAAUUAGAGUUUAUUGUGCUUUAAUUACAUUGCUAUUAACAAAUAACUAUCAAGAAACUCAUGCUCCUUAAAUAUGUCUCAAGUGGGAUAUAAUACCAUCAUAUGUUUCCCAGUUUGGUUAAGUUACUUAGCUCCUUUUCUCUUUUAGUUGGAUUAGAUCUUAGUUACAAUUAGGUUGAAGAUUUGUGUAUAUCCUUGGGCAUGGGGAAAAAUGUUGUCCAUGAGAAACUUUAUAGUCCAAGAUGUUAUUCGAAUGCUUUUGGUUAUUAGAUAGAGGCUUGUAGGGAUUGUUUACAGAAUGCGAACUACUGUGAAACAACUGAUUACUCUAAAUAAACACUAUUUAAAUGUUAUCAUAAAUAGGGAUUUGGACUCAGGAACUUUUAACGACUAAAGCUUUCAAACUAAUGACCAAUGUUUCACUAUUCCUAAUUGAGUAUCCAUAGUUUGGUUCAACACAAGAACAUUUAUACCCGAAAGAAUAGAGUAUGAACAUUUGAUGGAUAGAAGAUCUAGAGAGCUUUAUGGUCAGAAGAAUGCUGCAAAUUAUUUUGAACCAGAACUCGAAGCUACGAUAAGGGGCUGAAAUCGUUUUAAUGAAAGUAAUUUUACUACAAAAUUUUAAAUAAACAUGUAGCACCUCAAACCCUCCCCCUAAAAAAUAAUUAAGUCUGAUAUCAUACGAGAUACCAUUGAUAUAAGUCAACGGAUAAUACUGAUGCGAAUCUAAUAAUAAAACUAAGUGCUAUCAAAAGCUCAUGCUAUCAAUAAUUCUUCAUCUUAUUAUUUAUUCAUUUUCUUUCUUUUUUUUUUUUGCGGUAAAUGAAUGUAAUAAUAAUAUCAUACUCUCGGGCUAAUGGAUUCUAAGUUGUUGACUCCCUCUAUUGAUUCAACCAUUUGGAGGUGUUAUCUGUUGGACAAUUAUAUUUUUUAUAAUAAUAAUAAUAUCAAUUCUUUUCCUUUCUCCCUUUUUUGACUGAAUAUAAUAAAAACAACUCAAACAUAUAUAAUAAUAAAAAAUAUAUACCAAGUAGGGCACUUACAGUUGAGAUGUCAUUGUAAUUAUGGGUCAUCUUCUAACUCUCUCUAACAUGGAAACUUCCAUUUAAAAACCGAAAAAUAAACAAAACAAAAAAAAAGACAUUUUAAACAAAGUAAAAGGGCUUGUGCAGAAGCCUUGUUAAUUAUGACAAUACAUGAACAUGGAAAGCCUUAAUUAAUUAGUUCUUAAUCUCUCGAAGCCAUUAUUAAUUGAAUAAAAUAAUUAAGCUUCCAUCUAGGGCAAAUGAGGUACAACCCUAGGUCAAAGGGGGGUCUCAAUGCAAAGUAAGUUCCAUAGAAAAGGACUCUUUUUUUUAGUAAACCCUAGUAGUUAGAUGUCCUAUUCACUCACACAUUUACAUUUUAUUAAAUCCAAAAGGAGGUUGAUUAAUUGCACCAUUUGUCCCCAACAUUUAUCUUUUGUUUCACGUUUGUUCCUACCCUUUUUUUUCUUUGGUUAUUCAAUCAUUAACUGAAUAUUUUGGAGCUAUUUGGUUCAAAAUUUAUAAUAUUCUAAAAAGAUUAUAUACUUUAUAUUAAGAAUAAUAAAUAUUUUACUAACUUAUUAAGUCAUUUAGGUCAUAGGUUGUUAAGAACUAGUAAUGAACUACUAAUAAGUUUAAUAAUACGAAGGAUCUUCAGAAUAUUAUAAAUCAUAAACCAAAUAAGCCCUUUGUUCCAAUUAGAUCCUGUCAUCCAUAUUCCUGUCAAUUUUGACGAAAAAAGCUAUGACAAUUUCAAGAGAAACCCUACAUAUUUAUAUAAAUUACAAUUAUGAUUUGAUAAUCUCCUGUCAAUCUCAGUGCUACCUUUUUUAUACUUCUAACAAAACUUGAUGGUAUGCCCAAGCGAUUCCAAGAGUACUAAAUGCUUCAAAAGAGACAGUAAACAUUAUGUGCAAGAUCAAGAUGGCCAUAGGCGCAGAGGACAACAUUGAGGGGUCAUUAAGAUUGGGCCUGACACGAUGGAUGCACAUAUAGGAAAAGAGGUUAGAGACUAAAAUGAAAACAUGAGUAAAGAUUAGGGACCAAUAAUAUGAUUACUUCUAAUAGUUAAUAAUUUGAUUGCAAAAAAAAAUGAAAAAAAAAACAGAAAAAUCAGGUGAACAGUUGGAACCAAUGGUGCAAUAACCAGAAAAAAAAAAAAAACAAAACAAAAGGAAAGACAUGUUUAGAGUGAUAAAUGGAAGCAAACCAUUAGAUUAGGACAUUAAUUAUUAAUCCCUAAUUAUUAAUUAUUUCCUCGAGCCACACACUUAAUUAGAAAAUUUAUUUGGUGCAUUACAGGUCAACUCCUCUAGACCAAUUUGCAUUCCCCCAGCUCAAUUCUAUACACCAAAUUGUUUUUUUGGCAACAUGGCGAGAGACACGAAGACGAAUUAGUCGGAGAUAUGUUCAAAAUAGAUCGAUCGAUCGAUCAAUGCGUUAACUUCUGCAUACUGCAAUUAAACACUCUUUGUUUAAUUUACAAAGGGUGUUAUAUCAAAUUAACUAUUUUUAGGGCUAAAUUUGACUCCUAUUUUGUGUUUUUAUCGCAAAUGAAAAGAACAGCGUUAUUGUUAUUAUUUUCCACUCAUUUCUUUAGCGAUGAAAAUCACCCCCCUGACUAAAACACAGUCAAUCGUAAGUUCAUUUAUUUUAUUUUUUGUCGAUAUUUGACCAAACAGAAAGGAUGUCGUUGAAUCGUAUCAUAGUAUAGAACAAGACACAUAGGGCUGGCAAAUGAGCGACCCGGCUCGCGUUCGACUCGAUAUUUCGCUCGCUCGAGCUCGACUCGAAAUUAAAUGAGCCGAGCGUGAACAAAAAAAAGGCCCGAAAUUCAUUUCAAGCCGAGCUUGAGUAUUACUCGGCUCGUUCGCAUUAGGUUCGAAAAGCUCGAAUAUAUAUAUAUAUAUAUAUAUAUAUAUAUAUAUAUAUAUAUAAAAUUGACUUCUAUGCUUUUAAAAGUACCAAGACAUUGGUACUUGUAGUUUUAGCCAUUGGAUCAACUCUUUUCAUUAUUUCUAACCAUUGGAUUAAAUACUAUAAUUCAGUAGGGACCACUCAACCUUUAGGGGACUACUCAACUCUAACUGACUAAUAUCAUCUUACAAUUUUUCAUCCAAGGGUUAAAAACUUGAUAGUAAAAAGAGUGUUUUACUAUUAAUAAUAUUCCAGCCUAAUUCAUAUAUAUAUAUAUAUAUAUAUAUAUAUAUAUUAGAGCUACUAUACUAUCGAAAGUAUAGAGGAUGCUUUCGAUUUUUUGAUUCUUAGAUCAACCCCUUUAAUCAUUUUUUAUUUUUGGAUUAAUACUAUUAUUACCUUAUAGGGACCACUCAAUCAUAGGGAUAUUAUUUAAUCCUAGAGGGGACCGCAAUCAUCCCAACCAUACAAUUCUUAAUCAAAUGGUCAAAAAUUCGAAAACAUCAAAUCCUCUAUAUUUUUGAUAGCAUAGUAGUUCUACUCUCUCUCUCUCUCUCUCUCUCUCUCUCUCUCUCUCUAUAUAUAUAUAUAUAUAUAUAUUAAAAAUAUAUAUAUAUAAUAUAUUUUAAUUAUAUAUAGGCCGAGUGAAUAAUCUCAGUUUAGUUUAAAUUAGGCCAAUGUUGUUGGUCUAUAAAAACAAAUCCAAUAGACAAAUAAAAGAGCAAAAUUUCACUAAAUUUAUACAUUUUUCUUUUCUUUCUUUCUUUCACAGAGCUCUAAAUUUUCAAUAUAUUUCUCUCUUUCUCUUUUUCUGUCUCUCACCCUAAGUGGCCAAGCCGGAAGCCAUCCAAGUUACCAACUAACAGCAUAUGCCCACCGUUGACUACCUUACUAUUAAUUGUAUGCUUGAGAAAAUAUACAGAAUAUUUUUAAAAUAAAAAAUUAUUAUUCAUAUCAUAUUUUAAUUUUAGUUAUAUAUGAUUGGAUAGUUUAAUCCAAUAUUUAUCUAUAUAAUUUAUUUAUUUUUGACUAAAUAAUAUGGAGAUUGAAGGCGGAAGAGAAGACGUGUGAGGCUGAAAAGAUUAGAUAUUUAACUCAUAAAUUAUUUUUCUUCAUAUUUUAAUAUUAUAUUUCAUAUAAUUAUUUUGUCUUUUGAACUAUUAGACAUAUUUUUGUAUCAAAUUAUAGAUAAUGUUCUAUACAAAUUAAACUAUUGAUCGUAUAAUGUUGAGAAUUUCAAGCGGCUCGUUUAGGACUCGAGCUCGCUCGACUCGAAAUUAGGCUCGCUCGAGCUCGGCUCGAAUUAAUUUCAAUCCAAGCUUGAGCUUAAAUUUAGGCUCGAAAUUAAUUUCAAGCCGAAUUUGAGCCGAGGUAAGCUCGCUCGAGCUCGGCUCGUUUCCACCCCUAAGAUACAUAACUCCAAAAGAAAAAAAAAAAAAAAGUACUCUGUGGUCCCCUUCUUCCACUUUGAUGCUUUCAAGACACAAAGCAACUUCGAAGAAAGAUGCGUUACGCGAGAAAAACGUAUUGGUUUUCUACGGAUAUUUUUCACGCCGUGUUAAACAAAUUCGUAUAUAUUAUGCCGACAUAAUUCAAAAUUGGCCCUCAUAUUUUCCCCAAUUAUAUGUAGCAUCAGUUGACGCGCCCACUGAUUUAUAUAACAGUGUAUUUUGUUUCCAUCAUCUGGAUAGUAACUAUCAACUUGGGCAUCCAUCAUUUUGCUUUCAUUCCAUCGCCGUCGAGUCCAAGUUUUGCUUUCAUUCCAUCGCCAUCGAGUCCAAGUCGAGCAGAGUUACGCCGUAAGACACGCAACAUUAGAUUAGAAAGGGAUGUGCUCUGUAUAGUGAACUCCUAGCAGUUGAUUUCGACAAUGUCGGGAAAUGCCUAAUGGGAUCGAAGGAAUAUCGCCUUCUUCAGAAGUUAAAAUGUCGUUUAUUUAAUAGCGCUGUCGACCAGUUGUAAUAACUGUUAACACUUGCAUAACUUUCCAUCCGAAUCUUCAAAAAUCAGUUGAGAUUGAAGUUGUAAUUUUCCAAACUCUACAAUGACUUAGUAGCGAAAAAUUCGUUCUUCGUAUAUGUAGCUGUUAAGGAACACCGUUUGGUUUAGAUCGAAUUACUGAAUCAAUUCGCAUAGCUAGCACUAGUGAGAACCGAAUAAACUGAAAUAGUGAAAUUAGGUAAAUAUAUAUUAGCCUUUGAUGACAAUCAAAUAGCGCAAUGCUUAACCGCCACUACUGUCGUGUAAAAAACAUUAACAAAUACGACUAAUCGUCUCAUACAUAUGAGUGUGAACUAAAUCAAAUUAUGUUACUACGGCAAAUUCUAUUUUAAAAAAAGUUCAAUCAAAUCGAACCAGCUGGGAAGAGAAGAUUGUAAAGAAGCAAUAUUAGAGGUUACAGAAAAACAAAAGUAAGAAUUUUUUUCCACACAAGUGUGUGAACAGUAAAAAGGGAUAAAAAAAUUAUGUGCACGAAAUCGUAGAUAAGCUAGGCUCCACAGAGCACCAUUGUCCUGAGUAAUCCCCACCGUUCAAUCUUCAAAAAUUCCGACGGCCCUGAUCUACCAAGCCGUCUUGUGGGUGGGGCCCACUUCGAUCUGGUGGCGUAAAUGGAAAAAAAAAAAAUCUAGAAUGCACCGGUUAUAUCAGUGUUAUAUUAGUGACGUGGUGUUUCCGACCAAAAAUUUAUCUGUUCUAUCAUAAUUAUAAAAGAUAUUUUCAUUAUAUAUAUUUUUAGAAAAAUAUAAUUAAUUUAUUUUUUAUGAUAUUUAGUGAAAGUAUGAUGCGCAAUCAUUGUCGCGCCCGAAACGGCUUCUUCGAAACGCAGUGAAAGCCGCACCUACAGCUGUUUUCCGGCUGAUAACGGCUCGAUAGUAACAGAAUCCCGAAUCCGUGCUUUCUGUGACUCCUGCCACGGCCACCCCAAAGUACCUCUUAUUGAAAGUUUGUGUCUUGGUCCACUUGUAGUACCAUAAUAUACUAGUUAAAAAAUCCGUGCUAUACGGACCGUCUCUAGAACAAGUGGCAAAGAGUUUGGUGGUUGAUACUGAGACCUAAGUUCGAAUCCUAAUUAAUUCACAUUUCUAGUUAAGUUUAUUUCUAAAUUAAAUAAACAAAACGGAUAGCGUGCUACCUAUCUCUCUCAAAAAAAAAAAAAAACAAAAACCCGUGCUAUACCCAUCGACAUCUCUACUUCUGAGAUCCUAAAUUCAUAAUUUUGUGUUUUAAUUAUAAUUACUAUAAAACGGUAAAAAUAUAUUUAUUUAUGUCUAAUUAUAAUUCAACCACAACCCAUCAAAAUUUCAAUUUUUAAUUUUAAUUUUAAUUUUAAUUUUUAAAUUUAUUUUGUAUUUUUUUUUCAAUAAACUCCAUAAUAAAUAAGAAGUGUUAGAAAGAAAAAAGAAAAGAGAGAGAGAGAGAUAGGAGAGGGUCCCCAACAGCGAAAAAGCAAAAAAAAAAAAAAAAAAAAAAGCCCGUGCAGGCUCGAGGUCGCGCCGGCUUCGCGCCCUGCGCGCCGGCCCGCCCGCCCACGCAACUCGCGCCACCCCCCACGCACCUGCGCCGCACCCCGCACCAGCGCCACCGGCCGCGCCUGAGCGCCCGCUGCCCGCUCGCGCCCGCCCCUCCGCGCCCGCGCUGCACGUGGCGGGCCAAAGAACUUCAAAUUCCAAUUCAUAAGUAUAUAAAUGUCAGUUUAAUAAUCUCAUAAUAUUACCGAUUUUUUUUUAGACAAAGAUUUGUUGGUUGAAUAUCUGAAAUUCUAAAUUCAAAUCAUAGUUGAUUCACAUUAAUUCACAUUUUCCAGCUAAAUUAUAUUUUUAAAAUAAAAUAAAUAAAGUGGGUACAUACUAAAAUUUCAAAUACCAUUAAGGUGUAUCAAGUUAGUAUCUUGUAAUUUUAUUUUUAUUUUUCGUCAGCUUUUUUGUUAAUACUUGUUAAAUAGUAUAUACAAAAAAACUUCAGAUAUUACAUCUAGGUUUAUCGAAUAUUUACUUUAAUACUUUUUAGUUUUAACUUUAUCACUGAUUUAAUAAAAAAAACUAGUAAAAUCGAUAAUAAAAAAAUAAAAAAUAAAAUUACAUGUCACUAAAUUAAUAUACUAAAAUGAGAAAGUAUGAAACCAUAGGUGCAGUAUUUAAAAUUUUUUUAAAAAAAUAAUUUUAUAAUUUUUUUGUUUAUAAGAAAAUAAAAAUAUUUAUAGUAACAUACAAUAUACUAUAUUUAGGUUUUUUGAGCGUGUAGAGAGCCUGCUAUCUAUUUUUUUUUAAAAAAAUAAAUAAAUAAAAAUAACGUAUCGUGAACCCAGAGAUCUGAUCCAUUGAGAAUGUACCACGUGGCGACGACACAGAUCUCCACGCGGAGGACCCUAUUAAAAAGCGAGGGGUCGCAAUGCCAAAACUAGCCCGGUCCCCGUAAUUACUCUCGUCUGGGGCGGAGUCCCCCGUAACGCUUUCCCACAUCCGCAUCCGCAGCAAUGAUAGCGGCUGUGGCGGCGGCGGCGGCGGCGGAGGCGGCGGAGCCCUGGCCGUCGAUCGAGUCCACGAGGCGUGCAUCGGACGGCGCCUCCGGAUCCCCGCUCCCGAACCGAGCGGGCUUGGUGGCGCGCGUCCCGCCACGUCGCGUCAGCCAGCCGCCGCUCGAUUUUUAAAUUAAAUAACCCCUCCCCUCCGGGAUAAGGAGCUGCAUGCAAUUUUGCGACCAGGCCCCUGCCGAAUGUACUAUUUUGUACCGCGCAUCUGCAAAACCUAUAUAUACUAGUGAAGGCCCGCGCUUCGCUGCGGAAGAUUUACGUAUUUUUUAAAAUAUUUUGAACAAAUUAAUAUAUUUCUAUAUUUAUAUUGUGACCAUUUAAUUUUAAAAUUUAAAUUUUUUAAUUUUCAAAUCUAAUCUUAAAUUUUAAACUUUAAAAAAUUAAAGUGCUAAAAAAAAAAAUUAUUUAAAUAAAGAGGAAUAAAAAAUAAUUUGAAAAUUGAAGAGAGCAGAGAGAGGGAAAAAAACAAAAAGAGCAUUGUCCGCGCCGCGCCGCACCGCACCCCGCCCCGCGCCACUUUCCUGCGUUUUUUUAUUCCAUAAAUUAAGAGAAAAUAAUUAAAGAAAGAGACAAAAAAAUACAAAAAAAAUUAGAAAAAAUGUUAAUUUUACAUUAAAAGCAAAUAAAUAGUAAUUUUGCUCUUAUUUUGGGCUUUCGUAAAAUAUUAUUAUUCAGGACCAAUCAAAUUUGAAGGGGACUAUUAUUAUCUGAUCUCAUAAUUUUUUAUCCAAGAAUUAAAAAGUUGAAAAUACCGACUGCCUUAUGCUUUCGAUAGCACAACAACUUUACACAGAAGUAUAUAGAUAGUAUUUCAUAGAUGCCACCGUAUAUAUUAGCAUACAUAAUAAUUAGCAGUUUAACAUAUACAUAAAAAUUUUGGCUAAUAUUUUAUCAAAUACAAAAAGAGAGAGAGAUGUAUAUAACUCGCACAAUUUGAGAUCGCAAUCAAAACUCUAAAAACAAUGACAAAAAAAACAUUUUGACAAUUUGUUUAAUUUCCUAACAAAAAACUCCAUUAAUUAUUGCGUUAAAACUCAGAAAGGUUUGAGACUUAAGUUACCGUUGUUUGGAAAAAAAAAGAAAAAAGAAAGAGAAAAUAGAUGAGAGUGAGAGGUGCUUCACCAACCUCUUGCAUGAACUGAACAGAGAUGCCCGAGCUGUAGCAUCCUUUGCUUGUGGAGAUCUCAUAUGCGGCCUCCUCUCCUCCUCUCACUUCCUCUAACCCAUUCUCAACUUUAUUUCCACUCUUUCUCUCUGGUUCUCACUCACUCAUACACACACACACACACUCUCUCUCUCUCUCUCUCUCUCUCUCUCUCUCUCUCUCAUCUUNAGUACCUAGAAAAUAAAUUUUGUGAUUUUUCGAUAUCAUUUGCCUAGUGAUCGAAGGGGCUCAAAAUUAAUAAUUUUAACGGCCGUGGUGAGCCGUUUGCAAGUUUAAUGAUGUAGAAAUAUUCAAAUCAUAUGAAAUUUUGAUAGAAAAUUCUUUAUACCAUAUAAAAUAAGAUCAAUAACUUUGAUCUAAAAUUUUAAUGUCAUAUCAUCAUAUUUUGUAAGAUUUUUAUUUUCAGUCGUUGAUUUUGAGCCAUUUCGAUCACUAGGCAAAUUAUAUCGAAAAAUCACAAAAUUUAUUUUCUAGAUACUUCAAAUACUCUAAAUCAAGUCUAACAGAGUCGAUUGUCGAUUCGAAAGUCCGAACAUCGAAAACAACUUGGAAGUACGGAGCGCUCCGUGCUUCCAGAAGCAUACCAGACACACUCAGAUAUAUGUACUUUCUGGAUAAAGUUAAAAAAUAGGAAAAUGGGCAAAUUUCUAGUCAACAGAGGUUUUUUUUUGCUUUUUUUUUUAAUUCUCUAUUACAUGCAUUAAGGAUUUGACUUAAAACGUUAUAAAAAGUCAAAGUUGUAGUCAACAGAGUUUUUUUUUUCUCCUUCCUCUCCUAUUACAUGCAUUAAGGAUUUGACUUAAUUGAGGUUCUAAUGGCUUAAUUAAGAUAAUAUUUGGGAUAAGAGUAUCUAGUGGAGCUAGAAUUUACCAUGUGAUGAGCCCCAUGUUAGCUACUUGGUUGCACAACUUUGCACAUUUUGUUCUCAAUCAUGGUCGAGUCGUCGCGAUUCACGAGCUUAGAGAUAGCAAUUUGGACAUUUAUUGUAAAGAUAGCAUAAAACGGUGUCAAAGUAUAAAAAGAAAAGUGAAAUUUUGGUUCGACGUGAUUAAUUUAAUACAGUUGUAAAUAGAAUAGCAACUGUCAAAGUACAAAAUACAAAUUGUAAUGCAUAGUUUCAAUAAUUUUCUUCUACCAAUUUGUUCUGUUCAGUAGAUCCCCACAUCGAGACCAUCAAAUUAAUCUAUCGUUCAUACUGUUUUGAGAAUUUUCAUGUUUACAGGCCUAUUCGUGCCUCUCCAGCUCGCCGCAUCACGAAUACUUUACCCCAAUCCUAACACACUAGAAAAACUUGGCUUCAUUAUAAUAAGAUGUCGAAUAGUUAGCAAAUCCCUUUUUAUUAAUUUACAAAUAUCAAAGUUCGCAAUAGUUGCCAAUGUACUUAAAAUAGCGUAUAACUCACUCCCCGACAAAACAAUAGUUAAAAUUUUCCCUAUCAUACCCCAAUACUUAACUAUGUUUACAGAUCAAUGAGUGAUGGGAAACGACAUACCACAUUGGACAUCAUCACAUGCAUCAUGCAUGCAUGUAUGGUGUUGUCAACAUGCAUGCACUAUUCCAUGACUUCGCGCUCCAAGGGGCGCGUAUUAAUUGAUUGUGUACGAGUACAACUUCACCCUCUUCUCUCUCUCUCUGAAUGUAUCUCUGCGUCUACUAUACCUUUCAAAUCAUAAGUAUACGAAAAUCAAUAUAAUGUGAGAUCCGCACGGUUCAAUCUUAUCGGUCCUUUUACUUUGUACAAAUGACAUAAUGUUAUACAAUCUUAUACGCUUGUACUUACGCACGGAUGUAACAAAUUUUUGUGUAUGGUACUGUAGAGAGGUGGUGGAAAUUAAAGUCUAGAGAGAGAAAGUGCGGAGUGAGAUGGGUAUGUAUUCAAGACCCGCUCACUCAAUCAAUAAGGACCCAAUCAUACGCUCCACCACUAGAAAGUCCCCCAAGCCAAAAUAAGAAGAGCGAAACCAAAGGGCGCCUUGUGAGAGAACCCAUUUUUUUCGUUAUAUUUGGAAAACGUAAGCAAAAGGAGAAAGUGCUUUCUUUAUAUAGACUAUAUGUAUCAAUUAUAUAUUAUUUUCAUGGGUUUUUUGUUUUUUGUGUUUAAUCUUUCUUGUUAUAAUAAUAAUUAUUACUAUAGUUAUUUCCUAACCUUUUCUUUCUUCUUCUUUGGCUCUCUCGCUUGCUCCCACACGUGAUUCAGGAGAAAGUGAAACGUUGUGAAUGAGCGCGUUAGAGAGAGAAAAACAUAUAUACAUAUAUCUACAUAGUGAUACUAUAUAUAUAUAUAUAACCCCCGCAGCGGAAAAGCUGUGAUCCUUCGCCUAUAAAUCACCCUUUCUCCAUGAACUUAGAAUUGCUUUCAUGCUUCUCUCCUACCUCAUCACCUUCCGUUACCCUCUGAGAAGAGGAAGAGAAAGAGAAAGAGAAAGAUAAUCACCUCCUCUUCUAUCUCUCCAUCUAUCUAUCAACCAAUCUAUCUUUGUAUUUUGCGUGGAAAAUAUAAUAGUCGUAGAGAAUGAAAGAAGAAGAGGUGAGAGUGCUGGUGAUCAUCAGGGAGUACAACCCGAAGACCGACUGCGACGCGGCGCUGGCGGUGGACCGGAUGUGCGAGGUGGGGCCGAGCGGCGAGAUGUCGCUCUUCACCGACCUCCUCGGCGACCCCGUCGCUCGCAUCCGCCACUCUCCGGCCUAUCUCAUGCUGGUAUAUUAUAUAUCUGCCUAAUUAUAUUAUUAUCUCAUUUCUUAUUAUUAUUAUUAUUAUUUUUACAUUUCCACGCUUCCCUUCAUAUGUAUAUAUAUAUUUUUUAUAUAUAUUUUUUUAUAUAAUUGAAUUAAAAUUUUGUUAGGUAGCUGAGACUGGUGGGCCGGGGAGACAAAUUGUGGGUCUCAUCCGCGGUUGCGUCAAGACCGUCACCUGCGGUAAGAAGAAGAAGAAGAAGGAGGAGAACAGUGCAGCAGGCACUGACACCGACGCCGACGCUGACGCGGCGAUGGCUCCAGUCUACACCAAGCUGGGAUACCUGCUCGGCCUCCGCGUCUCCCCUUCGCAUCGGUUGGUAAAUUAAGUUAAUUUGUAAUAAUUUUUAGAGAUUUAGAUAACUAAUUAAUGUGCAUGUGGGAAUGCAUGUAUGUAUGUAUAAAUAUAGAAGGAUGGGGAUAGGGAUGAAACUGGUGAGGAAGAUGGAGGAGUGGUUCGGGGAGGAGGGGGCGGAGUACGCGUACAUGGCGACGGAGAAGGACAACGCGGCGUCGAUCGAGCUGUUCACGGGGCGGUGCGGGUACACCAAGUUCCGCACGCCGUCCAUCCUCGUGCACCCGGUGUUCGCCCACCGCCUCCGCAUCCCCCGCCGCGUCUCCAUCGUCCGCCUCCACGCCCGCGACGCCGAAGCGCUCUACCGGAAGCGCUUCGCCGCCACGGAGUUCUUCCCCCGCGACGUCGACGCCAUCCUCGACAACCCGCUCUCGCUCGGCACCUUCGUCGCGGUGGUCGAAGAGGAGGAGGGGCUAGGGUUAGGGUUCCGGUGGAGGGGGGCGGAGGAGUUCGUGGCGGCGCCGCCGGGGUCGUGGGCGGUGGCCAGCGUGUGGGACUGCGGGGGGGUGUUCCGCCUCGAGGUGCGGGGGGCGUCGCGGCUGCGGCGGGCGGCGGCGGCGGCCAGCAGGGCGGCGGACAGGGCGGCGCCGUGGCUGGGGGUGCCGGCGGUGCCCGACGUCUUCCGGCCCUUCGCGGCUUGGUUCGUCUACGGGCUCGGCGGCGACGGCCCCGCCGCGCCGGCCGCGGCGGCGGCGCUCUUCCGCCACGCGCACAACAUGGCGCGGGGCCGCGCCGCCGUCGUCGCCACCGAGGUCGCCGCGUGCGAGCCCCUGCGCCGCGCGAUCCCCCACUGGCGCCGCCUCUCCUGCGCCGAGGACCUCUGGUGCGCCAAGCGCCUCUCCCAGGUCCCUGACGACGACGACGAAGACGAAGAAGAAGAAGAACUCGGCGAUUGGACCAAAUCGGCGCCGGCUCCGUCCAUCUUCGUCGACCCAAGAGAGGUAUAAAAAUUUUCCCCUCUUUUUAUAUUUAGUAGAUUUUAAAAAAAAUGGAAAAAAAAGUGGGGGGGGUGUAUGUUAUGUUAUGAACUGUAGAGAUGAUUCAGGGAGGGGAGAGGGGGAGUAGUGACGUGGCAAUUUUGGAAUUCCGCCCUGGUGACGGGGGGAUUGUUACGGGGGGGUGUUGACUUUGGCUUUUGUUUUGGGGGUUUUAAAAAAGGAUUAUUACUACGUAACGGUUUUUGGGUGUUUUGUGGGAGAUGGGAUGGGAGAUCCCGCGGAUUAUGUGGAGCAAAAGUUAUGCCCCGUUCGUUUGAUCUGGAACGUCCGUUUUGAAUCCAACGGCUCCCCUUUUUGGGAUUUGAAUUUCAGCUCUUUCUUUCCUAUUUUCAAAUCAUUAUUCAUCAUAUCACCGUUUUGGUAAUUUUAUUUUAUUUUUACUUAAAUUGUGUGCAUUAUUUGUGAUGAAGUAAACUACUCUAUCCAUCCAACAAAUGAUAAUUUUUUGAUCUCCAAAACCGACAAAUAAAUUGAAAGUUUGCGAUUUUGAUUAGACCUAUACUAACUAACGAAGUUUGAUACGACAACUGAGGAGACAAAGUUCUUAAUGGCCGCUAUUUAUUAUUCUUUUACGGAGCUAGUAAAAUGAAAAACAAAUUGAAAAAUUACUCCAUCGACAAAAAAACAAUGCGAUUGCUGAGAAAGGUGUACCUCUACCUCUCUACUUCAAUUCACAAAUCAAGUGAAAAGUAAGCGAAGUUGCGUAGCCGGACAAUCCAAACACCCAAAUCUUUUUAUGUGGAGAUCUUUUCCCCUAUCUACCAUAUCUCGUGUAAAUGUGAAUGUAAUCAAUGCUUCCGCAAAGUGCAACUAGAUAAUAAACGCUCACAGGAAAAACAACACAAACUAAUCGCCAAAUUAAAGGUAGCUUUUGAUCACUAACCACUAAACCACACUCAGAUCAAAAUCGCAUUAUUCUUAAAACACUUUUGCGUCGACUCUUCGAGUCGGUGAGCCCGGCCGUGUGGAGCCCCAUUAAUCCACACCACUUUCACUCAUAACUUUCUCACAAACCUUUUGACUAAAGGUAAUUAGAGCAAGGAAUUAGUGUCAACGACGCUAAUAAGGCGACCAAUCCAAUUUCGUAUUUAGUCUAAACCUACCUACUUUUGACUUGAUUCGAAGCCCCAAAUUUGUACAUUCCAAGUAAUUGCUUGAGCCUAUUAGUUGUACAUGCCUAGUUGUGCAAAUCAACAAGAUGCUUAUACCUAAACUCACCUUUUAGCAUUUAUUUAAUGCUUAUUUUGUCCUUAAACUUGUUUUUCUUAUCUAUGCAACUAGCAACCUGUUGGAUGGUAAAGCUCUCGAUCACAUUAGCAAUUUUUUUAAAAAAAAGGAUAUUGGACCCAAGUCUCAGUCAUUCUAGAGUUCAUUGAAUGGAAUUUUUAAUCUCCGUUGACAAAAAAUCUGCGAAAAUUGCAUCGACGCGUGUAGAAAGAAAUUAAGGAAGUAAUGGGUAGGUUAGAAAUUGAGUGAUCAACUCAAUUAAAGAGGAAGCUUUUAGUUAGGCCCUAUAUAGGACAGGAUGCAACCAACUUCUCUUUUUUGAAAGUAAACAUUUGACAAUUUAAACAAGUUCAUUUAUUAAACAUGAUCACAUUUUAACAAAACUAUAUAUAUGCUUACAAUAUUAGUUAGGAAACUAGUAGUACAAUCUCAGUUUCAUGUUUGCAUGCAUAAUAAUAAUAUUCUAGUUUAAGUUCAACAUCUUAUGAGAAGUUUAUAAUGGCGAUAAAGGCUUUUUUCUUAUACCAUGGGGGCAUGUUUGUUUGGGUGGAAGUAGGUUAGAAGUGCAGAGAAGGAAAGUUGUUUUUACCAUAAAUGAUUACUUUCAUUAUUUGAUCCGUCGUAAAAUAGUUAUAGUCGAAAUUCAAGUUAACUUGAAAUGACGUAAUUGACUUCAACCCAUCGUGGGUCGAAGUCAAUUACGGUAAAGAGAGGUGAAGAAAAAUUAAUAUUUAAUUAUGACACUAAUUAUUUUUUUAUUCGGUUGGCAUAUUUAAAAUAUGAUAAAAAUUGAUUAGUUAAAUUUUAAUAUUUUUUUUAUUUAGUUUGUACAAUUAAAAUAUGAUAAAAAUUGAUUAAUUAAGUAUUAAUAUUUUUUUAUUUUAUAAUUUUAUUGUUGUAUUACUAUAAUUUAUGUAUAAACAAUAUAUUUUAAAUUUAAAGCUAAUUAUAUAAAAAUAUAAUUAUAUUAUUUUUAUUUAUUAAAUUAAUUAUUAUUUAUAUAUAAAUUAUAGUUUUAUAUCAUACAAUUCUUACUAAAUAAACAGCAGAACUAAUGAAAAUUUACUUUCAUAACUAUGAAGCAAACAAUGGAGAAGAAGGAAUUUUCAGGAAACUCCACUUCAAUUCAAAGUCCAGUUUCAGUAAAACAAACAUGCUCCAUAUGUAAGUGUAUCAAGGAGGGAUUCUUAAGAACUAUAUAUAAUUUUUGGUAUUUCAUCCAUCAUGGAACACACCAAAGAUCAGAAAAAAAAAAAAAAAAAAAGGGGUGGAGAUCAUGAACACUCAUUUAAGACUUGUAGGGUGUGUUGUUGACCCUUUACCAUUUAUUCCAAAUUCCACUUCCACAUAACACACCUGAGGUACCAAAGCAAUAGUGAAGGAGAUCGACCUUUUCUGGGGUAUCUAUCAUACUUUGGACUUCAUACCAAGAAAUAUCCUGUUCCAAUAAACUUUUUUAUCCUCUCCUUUCUACCUGCCAUAGUCACAAGAGAGAGAGAGAGAGAGAGAGAGAGAGAGAGAGAGAGAGAGAGAGGCAACAAGAACAAGCAAACCCCACCCACCUCAAAUUUAGCCCACAAACCUCCAAAACUCUAUCAUGUACAAGUGGAAUCAAAAUCUCACUUGCAUAUAAACAUAGGGCUCCACAAGACAAAGAUAAUACAUAUUGUGACAAGAAAGUCUUUUCUGCAGCUGAUAUAUCUCAUACAUACAAACAAUAAUAUCAAUCUCUUGUACAUAAAUAUACAAAUAAAAUUUUUGGAUUGCAAUGCACCUAACCUCCAUGAUAAUGCAUGGCCUACUUAGUGUUGAAUAUAAAAUAGUAAAAUAUCAUUCUAUGACAACUUUUAAGUUUUUAGUGCUGUCGAUUAUUUCAUGUAUUAUUUGAGCAAUAGAUCUUAACUUUAACUCCUAUCAAAUAUUUUCAAAUCGAAACUUUUUACAUAGCUAAAGCUUUCACACACGCAUAUGUGACAGAGGUUCUCUAAGCUUGAGUGGGUGAUCGGUUGAAUAGUAUGAUCUAACGGAUAGAAAUGAUCAAAGAGAUAGAUCUAACAACCAAAAAGUGUGUGGGUGGGGGUAUCUAUCAUCCUAACCGAAAACUACUAUCAUCCUAACCGCACAUCUCUUCAUACGACAGCCGAAAACUUAUGAGUAUAAAAAAAACUAUACUCAUAAAGUAUAGUAGCCCUAAUCUAUAUAUCUAUUCUUUCGAGAAACGCUAAAAAGUGCAUAACCCUCGGUGGUGUAUAAAUUAUACAUCUUAUCUAUCCUAAAAAUUGAACUGCUUUACUAGUUAGUGAGAUAAUUUUUUUAAAUUAAGUAAAGUGUAUGAUUUAUAUUUAUUUUGGAAUGUGCAGGUAGCAUUGGUCUUUGUUUUUUUUUUUUUUUGUUUUAAACGUGGGUGGCCUAAGAGGAAGAAGCCAACAAGGUCCCACUACUAAAACUUGACAAGAGAAAAAGGACCAAAUAGUGGGUCCAAUAAUUUAUCUCUUUAAUUAAUUAAAAGAAGUUGUUGGGUCCAAUCACAAUCUGAUGAACACACUGUUAGUCCCCACUCUCACUGCUCCCAAUGGUGCUUUUGACUCAAAAAGAUACUCAUUUGGGUGGUGGACUUUGGGGCAUUGGGAGAAAGUUCUCUGUCCCAUCAGCCAAUUUCUAUGCAAAGCAAGUAAAAUAAGCCCAAGCUGGAGUACAAAGCACUUUUGGCCUUUGAAAUUGGGUUUUCACUCUGUUUGGGAGUCAAUCAAAUACAGUGGGAAAAGCUCCCAGGGAUGCCAGAAGCUGCAGCCUCCAUUUGGAUAGAACAAAAUUAGGGUAAAAAAAAAAAAAAAAAAAAUUUGGCGGUUGGUAUCCGAGACCCAAGUUCGAAUACUAGUUGAUUCAUAUUUUCAGCUAAGUCUAUUUCUAAAUGAAAUAAACGAAGCGGAUAGCGUGCUACCUAUCUCUCUCUCAAAAAAAAAAAAAAGGGCAAAAAACAGUGUGUGUGUGUGUGUGUGUUUUCUGGUAAAAAUGUAUGCAACUAAUUUGAAAUUUAAUAAGUUGUUCGGAAAGAAUUAUCUAACUUUCAAAAACUUUGAUUUUACUAAUUAACUUAUUAUUAUUAUUAUUAUUUAACUGAUCAUUAACUUUAGAAGGUGUUGCAUGCAUCCGGUGCACUUGUACAUUCGUAGAGCGUUUUUUCAAUUAAAAGAUUUUUUUUGAAAAAUAGAUAGCAUGCUAUCCGGUUCGUUUAUUUUAUUUUACAAAUAAAUUUAACUGAAAAUAUGAAUCAAUUAUAAUUCAAGCUUAAAAUCUCGGAUACCAACCACUAAAUUCUUUCCCACUUGCGCUAGAAAGUGUCGGUCAAUUAAAAGUUGAAUAACUGAAUUAACAAUGUAACAUUCAUUUAUAGGAAAGUAAGGUAUGAUAUAUGCAUGAAUAUCUGGAGGCAUCAGGUGUGAGCAAUUACUUUAAUAAAGCAAAUCAAACUAUUUGAAAGCCUAUGUAUAAAAUUAAAAUUUUUAGAAGUAGGAUAGUCAUUUUCAAAUGCCCUAAAGUUGUGGUUACCACCAUACAAUUUCACAAUUUUUUAGGGAGGAGCGUAAAUUACUUAUGUGCUUCAUUUUCUUUAUCUCCUUCACAAAUCCCUUUUGUAUUGCUUUGAGAUGUGCUAAAGUUUUUGCCUUUAUUAUUGUAAUUGGAGGUUUCGCAGAAAUAUAAUUUAGAUGGAACUAUUUAAGGAAACUCUAUAAUUAGGUUUUUCAGUUAAACUUCAACUCGUUCCCAUGCGGUUUAGUGCAUUUUUUACUUUGUCAUUCCCUUUUCGAAAAGGUUAUAUUAAACUAUCUUAUAGUUUUAUUUUUAUUUCACUAUAAAAACCUAUCUUUCAAUAGGAUAAUAAGUGAUACUUUUUUCAAAUCAUAGGACAUAGAAAUGCAAAUUAUAGGAUUAUAUAGAGUAGGGCUGCUGUGCUCUUAAGAGCACAGCAGCUCCUGUGCUAUUAAAGCAUCCACCAUCCAUCUAAAUAGAUGGAUGGCUGAGAUUAAGUGGCCUUUUAAAAGGGGAACCCACAGUUAGAUGGGUUAGAUUUAACGGACUUCUUCUCUCUCCUCUUUUUUUUGUCUUUUCUUUUUUUCCUUUUCUCUCGUCUUCUUCCCAGGCUAUCUCCCUCCCUCUACAGUGAAUGCUUCACCUCUUCUCUUCUCCCCCAAUCUCUCUCCCUCUCCCUCUCCUGUGGAAUCGUGGAGCUCCUCCGUAUCUUUGAGCGCCGCCGGAGACGCCGGAGAAGAGGGGGAGGAGGAGGAGAAGGGGGAGGAGGGAGGAGGGUUGUAGAGGCGUAGGUGUUGGGCGAGGAGGGCAAGCCGCGCGCUAGGAUAUUUGGGGAGAGUUUGGGGGCCGCGGAGCGGCGCGGGGGAUGACGACGCUGGAGAGUGCGACAGCGUCAGAGAGAUGAUCUCAUAGGAACAUUUUUUUUUUUUNAAGCAUCCAUCAUCCAUCUAAAUAGAUGGAUGACUGAGAUUGAGUGGUAUUUUAAAAAAGGAACCCACAGUUAGAUGGGUUAGAUUUAACAGACUUCCUCUAUCUCCUUUUUUUUGUCUUUUCUUUUUUUCUUUUCUCUUUCUCUUUCUCUUUCUUCCUUUUCUCUUGUCUUCUUCCCAGGCUAUCUCCCUCCCUCUACAGUGAAUGCUUCACCUCUUCUCUUCUCCCCCAAUCUCUCUCUCUCUCCCUCUCAUGUGGAAUCGUGGAGCUCCUCCGUAUCUUUGAGCGCCGUCGGAGACGUCGGAGAAGAAGGGGAGGAGGAGGAGAGGGAGGAGGGAGGAGGGUUGUAGAGGCGUAGGUGUUGGGCAGGAGGGCGAGGCGCGCACUAGGAUAUUUCGGGAGGGUUUGGGGGCCGCGGAGCGGCGCGGGGGAUGAUGACGCCAUGGAGAGUGCGAAGAAGAAGCAGCGUCGGAGAGAUGAUCUCAUAGCAACAUUUUUUUUUUUUUUUUAAUUCGGGUCUUUCCUGUUCAUAGUACAAAGCACACACGUUUGUUUUGUGCUUUCUUUAUUUUUUUUUCUUUUUUUCUCUUUUUUAUUGAUGUGGUGGGAACUAAAUUUGAAGAACGGUUAUUGAUUUGGUGGUGUUACGCUGUGUUGUUAUUUGUCAAUAAUUUCUCCGUUUACUAUUUUUUAAAAAAUUUGCUUGGAUACACAAUUAUUCUAUUUCAAAAUAAAAAUUAUUUAAUCAGAACAAAAUAAAAUUAUAAUUUUGAUAAAAUUUAUUGACUUAAAUAAACAUCAUAAUAAACCCUUUUGUUGAGUUUUCUAUCAUGCACUUGGUGAAGAAUUUCGAUUUUGAUUUGUAGAAAUGGUGAAGUUGAAGUGUUUGCGGACGUUCUCAAAUUCCUCAAACAACCAAGUUGCAAAUUUGUAAGAUUUUUCUGCUCAAAACUUCAGUAUCAUUGGAUAAAAUGGCUAUCACUGUAUCAGGGGACUCUUGUUUUAUUUGCCUUGUUGGCAAGUCGCAGGCGCUAACCGAAGUUCAUCCAGAAAUUUCAAUCUUCCUUAGAUUGUUUGUGGAAUACGAUAUCAUCGUUUUGUCACUCUCGUGCAAGAAAAUGUCGCUAUGCUUCUUUUGUUCUUAUAUCUCUUAGAACAUCUCAGAUUAUAGUUAAAAAAUCUUUUUCUCUCUUCUUUUUUUUCNAAUUUCGAUUUUGAUUUGUAGAAAUGGUGAAGUUGAAGUGUUUGCGGACGUUCUCAAAUUCCUCAAACAACCAAGUUGCUAAUUUGUAAGAUUUUUCUGCUCAAAGCUUCAGUAUCAUUGGAUAAAAUGGCUAUCACUAGCUUUAUUUGCCUUGUCGGUAAGUCGCAGGCACUAACCGAAGUUCAUCGAGAAACUUCAAUCUUUCUUAGAUUGUUUGUGGAAUGUGAUAUCAUCCAUUCGUCACUCUCGUGCAAGAAAAUGUCACUAUGCUUCUUUUGUUCUUAUAUCUCUGCUUAGCGAUAUGACUUUAGAACAUCUCAAAUUAUAGUUAAAAAAAUCUUUUUCUCUCUUCUUUUUUUUCGGGAUAUUAUGUGGGUUGGGGGGUUGGCUGCAAAAUGUGGGGGGCGCUCAAAGAUACGGAGCUCCAUGAUUCCAUAGGAGAGGGAGAGGGAGAGAGAUUGGGGGAGAAGUGAGGAGGUGAAGCAUUCACUAUAGAGGGAGGGAGAUAGCCUGGGAAGAAGACGAGAGAAAGAAAAAAGAAAAGACAAAAAAAAAGGAGAGAGAAGUCCGUUAAAUCUAACCCAUUUAACUGUGGAUUUCCUUGUUAAAAGGCCACUUAAUCUCAGCCAUCCAUCUAUUUAGAUGGAUGGUGGAUGCUUUAAUAGCACAGGGGUUGCUGUGCUCUUAAGAGCACAGCAGCCCUACUCGGAUUAUAUAAUGCUACAUUAUGCAACACUACUAUAGUUAGCCAAAAAACAUAAAAAAAAAAAAAGAAUAUCCCUUUUCCUUUACGGUAAAAUAAAAAUAAACCCAUUAAAACAUGCUACACCUCAUGGGGCCAAAUUGAAGUUUAGCCUAAUCUUUGUUUUUCAAGAUACAUUUCGAGAAAAUCAAACACAUUCUUAGUAAAAAUACUUGUUCCAAAAGACAGGAAAAACAUGCAAAGACCCAACAAAAAUGUCAUUAUAACCCAAUCAGAAAGAAAAGCAUAGGGCCUGAUUCUCAAGAUAAAAAAAAAAAAGAGAAAAAAAAAACAUUGAAGUUGGUUUAAUUUAAGAUAAGAGGUCACAUAUAAGAUUUCACUGAUUUCAUAGCAACAGUUUACAGAAUAACAUCUGGAUGACUACAACCCAAAGCCACCUUCUCCUGAUAAUCUCCUACCAAAACCAUUACAUUUCCUUUGCUCUUUCAUAAUUAAACACAAAGUUGAGGUUUCAUUGCUCAAAAUGAUUUGUAGAACAGCUAAAACUGCUUCUUCCAGGCUUGUAAAGCAUACCGCAGCUUUUACGAAACAUAGUACUUAAUGCUUCUUGCAGGCGUAGACUUCGGCUCCUCGUGGUUGGCCGAUCCGGGGCUCCCGGACGUAUCCGAACUACUAUUCUCUCCGCCCUGCCCUUUGCUCGACAAGAUCUUUCCGAGUAUCUUCUUCGGUGUCGCUAUAACUUUCGGCUUCUCGUUCGAGCCCUUCCCACUUAAGUGCUUCUUGUUGGCCUCGUUGCUGCUGCUGCUUCUCUCGCUCCCUCCGCCGCGGCUCCCUCCUAGCUUCAUGGACUUGUCGACGGACUUUAGGUCUUCAACCCCAUUCCACUCGUCUUCGGUGGUGUUUGUCGUCCCGGCCGACCGCGAGCUCCCGUAGGAGGUGAUGCCGCCGCUGUCCGACCGGCAAUUGGCGGCGGCGGCAGCAGCGGUGGCACAAGCCCUGGCUUGCUCGUGGUAGAGGACUUGCACGGCCAUUCGCGAGGGGAGGCGCUCGUUCUGCACGGCGUGCCCGCAGGCAUCGGGCGACAGCCGCUUGCAGUCGAUCAGCCCGCACAGCUUCUUCCUGUCGCUCUUGUUCAUGCUCGGGUGCUCCUGCUCAUAUUUAGACGAAAGAAAGGCUCAUCAAAACCAUCGAUCAGACAGUCCAAAUGUAGUCACUAUAUCUCAAAACUCUGUCAUUGCAAUUUUAAGAAAAAUUCAGGUUCUCUGUAUGUUAGAGACCAAUCACAUGUUUUCCGUGCUGUUGUUUGUGUUUCUAAACUUUACAUCAAAGAAGAUUAGGAAAGUGUGUACAGAUUGCAAACAAUCUGCCAUUAGCAGCCCAGUUCAACAUCACAAAAUUUAAGGGGAAAAAAAAGGUUUCAAAAACGAAGCCCACAGGAUAUUAGUGCAAAAGUAGGCUAUACCACCCAAAGGGUUAUCUAAAGAUUAAUGCGAAUUUUGUACUAAGAGAAUAUUGCUAUAGAGAAAAUUGUUAAAUACCUUCAAAAACAUAUCAAUCGCGCGAUAAAGUCCAUCAUGCACCGCCCUGGAUUCAUUCGAUACCAUUUCAGCUAGAUCCACAAAUUUGGAAAGAGGUAGAUUCGGGUCCUUCGCAACCUCCGCAAGAUAACCAUCAACCAGCUUCGUCACGGCGACCAUGGAGGCACCUGAAACUAUACUUAGGCUCUUCAUUCCCUCGAGCUCUUCAGUAACCUCAGCGCACGAUUUAGCACUUCUGUUAUCCUGCAUGACAAAUUCCUCCACUAUAUUAAGAACCAUAUCAAUAUCAUAGAUUGUGUUCUCUCCUUCCACAGUAGGGAUCAAAAGGUCGGGCACGGAUGCUUCCUCCAACUGUCGCCCAAUCCGCUUAAUAAGUUCUCUCUUGCCCGCUUCUCCACUGCCCGACAAGCUCGCAACUCUCAGUAGCUUGAGAAGGAAACUGCACGAGACCGAACCUUUUCCGGGCGGUAAUAACCAUAUAAUAUUUUCUACGAGUGAUUGAAUUUUUACAUCUCCAUGGAUCAUAGAAGCUUUACUUAAAGAUGGGAGCCUUUUAUAUGUGUAAGCCUUUAAAGCUUCUCCAAUCACCUGUGGGGAAACUCUCCCCUUGGAUUUAAUGGCAGCUAUAACUUGCUUGAAGUAAUCCAAUUCGAGUUCGCUCAAGUCCUCAACCCACCAAUCUUUGGGCACUGACUGCUGCUUCUUAACGCCGUUCCAGUGUGAAUCGAAGCCAUUUUCAGAUGGAAGCUUCUUUCUGUUGUACGUGUACGACCAUUCGACCUUAGAAGAAUCAAUUGAAGCCUUGGAAGCUAUAGAAUCUAUGCAGUGGCUAACCAACUUGAGAUUUUCGGAGAAAGGUAGGAGAGGUUUUGUGGUCUGAAGAACAAUGAUCGAAUCUUUCCAGCUUCGGAAAAUGCUAGUGCUCAGAAAGACUUCGAUCUUGUAUAUAAGAUUUCCUUUCUCCACCGUCUCGUGCAUCUCCAAGUACUCAGCUGCACACCGCGCGGUGACAACAUUGUACGCAUUAAGGGUGACAGUGACGCCGUAACAGAAUUUGGCACAGAUCUCGAAGGCCACAGGACCACCCGGGAUGUCUGGAAUGUGAAUUUCGUCACCAUUUUCAUCACCGACCAACCUCUGCAACCGAUAACUCUUGGAAAGAAGCGGAAACUGCAUAUGUUAAGUAGAGUAGGGAAGGUAUAAAAGAACCAUCAGCACCACGAAUUGAAAAUAAGGACUAAUGAGUUUUUUCCACUAAGGAAUUUUGAACAGAAGAUUCUCUUUUUUUUUUUAAACCAAAUUAUUAUCAAUUUAACUAUAAGACUCAUAGAUUCUGGAAAAAAGAUUGCACACUAAGAUAAAGGAUAAUCAUGCAUAUUGAAACAAGCCGAAGCAAAAAAGAAAGUGUGGUAGCAAAACUAUUACUAACAGGACUAUACUACAAAAGCAAAUAAUUAUCUAGAAUCUUUUCUAGCUUUUAUUAAAUUAUCCGUUGCCAAAAGAACAAAUUCAAGCACACUGCUACUGUGUUACAGCGAACGAACCCUCUAUAAGUUGAAGCUAUUAGAGAACAGUGUUUUAUAUACUUUGCAUGCAAGGCUCGUUAUUGGCAUUUGCUUACAUUAUUCAUUAAGCAUGGUCGAAUUCAAACUCAAAACCUCUUGCUCUAAUAUCAUGUUACCUAAAAGAUAUAGUUAUCUACGAUAAAAUCGUAUAAUAAACAAUAUUCUAAAAAAAUAACACAGACACCGAUAGGCAUGAGACAUUUCAUUGGCCUCAACAUGAAAUCUGGAUUAAAUGGACAGAUAUUUUAUUUUUAAAUAAUAUAUAACUAGGAUAUAUCCAAUCCAAACUCUGCAUUCCUGGAUUGAUAUGAUGUGAAAUAACUCGAGCUUUUUCAAAAAUUGAAGGUAAUAAAGAACCUAUACUUGUCUUCUAACAAAAUGAUUUCCAGGAGAGCAAACAUUACCUUGUGUAGAUGGAAUUUCACGUCUCCUACAUGAACAAUGAUGUCAGUUGCUAAUUCACUUGCCACAAUCCUGCAAAAGAUGAAUUGUUCCAUCAUUAAACAAAUAGAAAAGAAAAAUGAAUUAAAUUAGUACAAAAACAUUACGUAAUUUUAGAGUAAUAUGUAGGCAUACUACUUUUAUCAGUAAAAGAAGAAAUGCUUGGAGAAGAUCCACUUUUGUCGGCCAAAGAAUAUAUAAAGAGAAAAUCUAGUACUAGUAUGCGUAGAGUUGCUAAAAAUUGCCCAGGAACACCAGUUUGCUUGUGCUUCUAAUGUGUGCAUACGAGAAUUCAACUUGCUAAGUCCAAAGAAGUAAAAGUAACUUCGGAAACGACACUGCAGUGACCUUUUUAUACAUCAUUACACUCUCCAACUUAAAUUAGUAUUAACAUUCUAAGACUUCGAUAACUACUCGAAGAUGACACUACAAAUUAUUAAACUAACUCUGAUAGAUCAUAUGCCAGCAAUAGAAAGGUGAUCACCAAACAGGUAAUGAUUUUAUUUACUUGUUACAUAAAAUACUUCAAAUGGAUUAGCGCAAUUUCCAUUUAAAAACGGCUAUUUAUCUGUAAAAGCAUAAUGCAAUAAUUUUAUAGAAAUCUUCUUAAUUUGAAAUUAUGUAAUAUGGAAGGUUGCGAAUGGAGUAUAAAGAAUAACUAUAAUCAAGUAUAAUAACUAAAACGCGUGAUAAAUCCACUCUUCAAAUUCCUCAUAGUUUUAAUUGUAACAAUUUAUUCCCUUUAACUUUGUUCCACAUAAAAAAUAAGGCCAUUUGAUAGCCUUCUAUUUCAAAAAGGAACAAUGUGAGUAAUAUUGGUAGACUCGACUUUGUCAAAAUUGAAAUUCCAAGGACAAAAUUAAAAUCAGGGUCAAACUGUGGGACUGAAUUGUUCAAAUCAAAACUCUAAGGACAAUUGGAGAAAGAGUCAAACUUGAAAAAGGACUAGAUUAUUACAAUUGAUACUCUCAAGGACCAAAUUGGCAUCAAGCCAGGUCAAAACUCACGGAAACAAAUGUGACAAGUAACCCUAAAAUAGAAAGACAAUGGUGAAAUCAACUAUGCAGCUCACUAAUAUAUAUUCAAGUGAAAAGAAUAGAUAGAAGUAUGCAUCGCAGCAUAAUAUGACAUAUGAGGUACUCAUAAAUGAUGUCAUAUAAACCUUAAAGAACAAAAAGAAUUGAUCAAGAGGUGGAACUAUAUCUGUGGUUUUGCCGCAAUGUGCACUUUACAUUUCCGUAGGAUCAAGAAAUCAAAUGUAAGAAUAAUCCCACGUAUAUUGGUGAACAGUACAGUAAAAUUCUAUUGAGUUCAAGUUGACAGGAUCCAAUAACUAUGGCGCGUCCUACGCUUAAAUGGGCUUGGGCUUUGGUAAAUCUCUGUAACAUGCUUUAGCCGAAUCCACAAUGAUUAGAAAUAGACUAAAGAGUUAGAAGGUAAGUUUAUGUGAGGGUUUCAACAUGGUAAAUGGUAAACUUCAGAGCUAUUAGGCUCUCAAGCCAUACGAACUACAAAGCCACGAUGUCGCACAACCUAAUGUAAAACUAGCAAGACUAGUAUAAACGAUUCAACAUAAUACAUCAACACUCAAACUUCAAGUAAUCAUAAAACUAAGUUUGAAUUACCUGACAUCUUUUCCGUCGGUCUGAAAGGUAUCGGGCUUUGAUCCAAGCUUCAUAAACUUCAUUUUUAACACGAAGCAAAAUACUGCAAUCCCUUCUUCUUCACUAUAUAAACAUCAAUAACUACUUCGCUGCCAGGCGGUCCAGCUGGUGGGCAGACUUCCUGCGGACACAAAGAAUGCCGAAUACUCAAACGGGUGGUGUUGAGUAGAUACAAAAAAUCGGAAAAAUGACACAUGAAGAGACAGACUGCGAUGGGCCUAGGACCUCUAAAAAGUAGGGCACAAGAGAAUCCGCCGUGGAGGGCACAAAUCGUGGCAAAAAAUAAGACAAUUAGAGGAGACAUUGGCAACCACUAUACAGCUAAACAAUUGAAGAAACCAGAGACAAGUGCAGAACACUAAACUGACACUAUCACCACCACUCUCAUUUGUUAAUGGCUUUCUCACCCUUUAUUGAGAUCUAUUGAGAUGCAGUGCUUCUCAUGCCACUAAUAUAUAUAUAUAUGUACAAAUAUGUGCAUAUAUAAAAGGGUGGUACACAUUCCUUAAUAGCCCAACUCCCAACUUGUUGAGAUCACACAUUUAACCAAGCAACAAAAAGACAGUGACCUUGAAGAGGGAGGAAGGGGAGCAGUGGAACAGGAGACAAUGAGCAUCUUAUAUAAAGAGAGGGGAGGGGGUUUGGAGAGACCAAAACUACUGCUGUGGUUGAAGGGAUCUUACCAAGUUUGCCCAGAACACAUUGCAGGGUGGUUAUGUUAGAAUGCAUACAGUAUGAGAGCCAAGAAAACAAGUGGGACUGCAUGGGACAGCCAGCAUUUAAUUUGGAAUUUAGUAAUUAAUUUUUUUAAUAUAUAUAUAUAGAGUCGAGCUAGAAUACUAUCGAUAGCAAACGGGCUCCGUUGCCACCCAUUUGUUUUCGAUGAUGGAACCUCCAAAUCGACGAUCGGCACCGUUGAACAUGAUCUAUACCACUUGAAGUGUUUAGAAAUCAAAUUUGAAAUCUUUUCAACAUCAUUUGCCUAAUGAUCAAAAGGUUUCAAAUUUUGUAAUUUUAAUGGUCGAUAUGAGGCGUUUUCUCGUUUAACGGCGUAAAGAUAUCCAAAUUAAUUAAAUUUUUGUUAGAAAAUUUUUUAAACUAUUUAAAACAAGAUCUAUACUCUUGAUCAUUAUUACAAGACUCCUAUCAUCAUUUUUUAAAAAACAUUUAUUUUCAGCCGUUCAUUUUUGUGUCCACUCGAUGGAUAAGAGAACAAUGUUGAAAUUGUAUGAAAUUUGAUUUCUAAGCACUUCAAGUGGUAUAGAUCAUGUUCAACGGUGCCGAUCGUCGAUUUGGAGACUCCACCAUCGAAAACAAAUGGAUGGCAACAGAGCCCGUUUGCUAUCGAUUUAUUGCGAGUCAACACCCAUUAGUAUAUAUAUAUAUAAUAUAUAUAUAUAUAAUAUAUAAUAUUAUAUAUAAAAGCAAUCAAGCAAUAGGUGAAAAAGAGGAGAAGAAUUACAAUGCAGUGGAAGAAACCUAAAUAAGAAAAAGAAGAGGAAGAAGAAAAAAAAAGGAAAAACUGUAGCCUGUCAUAAUCCUAUUCUGUUAAAAGAAAUAAAGAUAUUGAAGGUGGGGAGAUAUUGCCACCUACAUUAAGAGUUAAUAAUAUUUAUUAAGCCAGGCUGUAUAAGGAAGAAUGUACAAGUCCAGAAUAGCAAAGCUGACAGAGAAUAAAUGAACACAUUUUUCUUAUAAAAAAAGAAAGAAAGAAAGAUCCCCAUAAGACAAACUAAGCGGAGGAGCAACAAGAAGAGAAAAGUAUAUAAUGUUAAAUCCUGAACCCACAGCUAGUAAAGAGGAAAACUAAAUGCAGUUGAGAAGGAAAAAAAAAAAAAAAGAAAGAAAAUCUCAAGACUAAGAAACAAUCCAUACCUAAGAACAUGAAGAGGCAGUGAAUUAAUGAGGCCCAAACCAGGCAAAUGAAGAUCCAAAACCCCCAGGAACUCAACAAGGGGGUAGGGAGAGAGAGAGAGGAGAGAGAGAGAGAGAGAGGAGAGUUUGUUAAGAAGAAGAAGAAGAAGAAGAAGAAGGAAAAGGGGAGGAAAUCACCUUAAAAGGUCACACCACUAGUGCUACCACCACCAACAACUUUAGACACAAGCAGGUGUACUCUAAAGAACCACUAAACAGCAGCAGCAGCAGCAGCUGCAGCAGGAGGCCCAUCAUGCCCCCUCCCUCACCCACACCACCCCUCUGUGUCCUUGUCAGUCAGUCUCUCUCACCCCACCACCACACCACCACCACACCACCACCUUCUACCACACACAGCUAAAACACCAACAAAAAUGCACCACAAAAAAAAAAGAGCAAAAAAGAAAAAAGGAUAAAGGACGAGAUAUCUCCUCCCAGCCAAUUUACCUACAAGAGGCAACAACAUACUCCACAGAGUUCGCUUCUCUUUACCCACCCCCCCCCCCCCCCCCCCCUCUCUCUCUCUCUCGCUCUCUAGUAAAGAGAACAAAGUUUUGACACGAGCUCUUCUUUUCUUCCUCUUUCUCUGCUUUUCAUUGCCAUUUAUUGUUUCUUUAUAGCCUCAGCUUCCCCCACCCACAGUCUCUCUCUCUCUCUCUCUCUCUCUCUCUCUCUCUCUUUCAUGGCUAGCUUUUGCUUCUCUUUAGCCUGAGGCCUGCCUGCUGACUACUUGAGAGUUUAACAAGUAAAGUGACUUUAAUGCCCCUUUAAUUCUUGGAAAAUUCCAAGGGAGAGCUAACUUUACCAGUACAGCAGCUCUAGGAAAAUGAGAGUGCUCUUCUUCUUCAUAGGAUACUAGUAUUAGUCAUCAUUACAUACUUUGAUUAAUAUAUAUAUAUAUAACAUACUUUGAUUAAUAUAUAUAUAUAUAUAUAUAUAUAGAGGGAGAGAGAGAGAGAGAGAGAGAGAGUUCGAUUAUUAAUAUACUUUUAUGAGUAUAAAUUUAUUUGUACUCAUAAAUUUUUAACCGUUAAAUUUAACACUUUACUAUUUUCACCUAUUAGAUCAUACUAUUCAAAAAACUACCCACUCAACCCUAGAAGACCACUAUCAUCAUAAUCGAGGAUUACUAUCAUUCUAAUCGCACAUUUUUUUCAUCCAACGAUCGAAAAUUUAUGAGUACAAAAAGGUCUAUACUCAUAAGAGUAUAGCGGCUCUAACAUAUAUAGAGUCCGAUUAUUAUACUCUUAUUAGUAUAGACUUCUUUGUACUCAUAAAUUUUUGACCGUUAAAACUACCCCCUUGACUAUUUUCAUCCAUUAUAUCAUACUAUUCAAGCAACUACCCAUUCAACCUUAGAGGACCACUAUCAUUCUAAUAUAUAGUAGCCCUAGCAUAUAUAUAUAUAUAUAUAUAUAUAUAUAUAUAUAAUUGAGUUAGAAUACUUUUAGAAGCACCAAUUUUCUUGGUGCUUCUAAAUUUCUAGCCCUUGCAUCUACUCCUUAAUUACUAAUACCUCUUGGAUCAAACACUAUUCUACCUACCACCACCUACUACCAUCAUCUCAACCCUACAUCUCUCCAUUCAAUGGUUAAAAACUCAAAAGCAUCACUCCCUUGAUGUUUUUUAGAGUAUUCUAGCUCAACUAUAUAUAUAUAUAGUAGGGCUACUAUACUCUUAUGAGUAUAGAACCCUUCGUACUCAUAAGUUGUUUUCGAUGUUGGGCUUUUCGAAUAAACGAUCCACACCAUUAAACAUGAUCUAGAGUAUUUGAAACUUUUAGAAAAUAAAUUUCGUAAAUUUUUAAAAUCAUUAUAAAGUUUAUCAAGCGGGUAUAAAAUGAACAGUUAAAAUCGAAUGACAUUCUAAAAAUGGAUGAUCGAAUCUUCGAUUUAAGAUCGGAAUUAUUGAUCUUUAUUUAGGUAGUGUAAUAGAAUUUUCUAUCAAAAAUUUAACCUAUUCCGAUUCUUUUUCACCGUUAAACUAGCAAAUAUCUUAUAUCGGUUGUUAAAAAUUGUCAAUUUUAUGAGCUUUUGAUCAUAAGGUAAUGAUAUCGAAAAAUUAUAAAAUUUGAUUUCUAGAAGUUUUAAAUGCUCUAGAUAAUGUUUAACGGUAUGGAUCAUCAAUUCGAAAGCUCUAUCAUCGAAAACGACUUAUGAGUACGAGGACGAUCGUACUCAUAAAAGUAUAGUAGCCGGACUUUAUAUAUAUAUAUAUAUAUAUAUAUAUAUAUAUAUAUAUAUAUAUAUAUAUAUAUAUAUAUAUAUAUAUAUAUAUAUAUAGAAAGCUAUUNNNNNNNNNNNNNNNNNNNNNNAUAAUUUUUCGAUAUCAUUUACCUUACGAUCAAAAGCUCACAAAAUUGACAAUUUUUAACGGCUGGUACGUGAUACUUGCUAGUUUAACGGUAUAAAAGAAUCAAAAUAGCUUGAAUUUUUGAUAGAAAAUUCUAUUCACUACGUAGAUAAAGAUCAAUAACCCCGAUCUUAAAUUGAAUGAUCCGAUCAUUCAUAUUUAGGACGUCGUUCGAUUUUGACCAUUCAUUUUAUAUUCGUUUGAUGGACUUUAUAAUGAUUUCAAAAAAUUACAAAAUUUAUUUUCUAUAAAUUUCAAAUACUCUAAAUUAUGUUUAACGAUGUGGAUCGACGAUUCGGAAGCCCCAAUAUCAAAAAUAACUUAUUAGUACGAAGAGCUCUAUAUUCAUAAGAGUAUAGUAGCCAUACUCUAUAUAUAAAUAUAUAUAGGUGGAAUAAUAUUAACUGUUGCGACAAGCACACAAGCAAAACGGAAAAAUGAUCGUAAAAUAGAGAAAUCACAAAACAGUAAAUUAAGAUAGAAUAUAAAAAUUUACGUAAAAAAUUUUUUACAAAAAAAAAUUACAGACGAAAAAGAAGAUAACUUCGCUAUAUGAAAAAGGAGUACAAAAUAGAAAAUAGAGCAAAAGGAAAAAAAAAAAAAAAAACCCUUAAAAAAUUUCUUCAUAAUCUAAUCCGAUCCAUACUGCGGGGAGGGAGGCCCCUGCACUCUCCGUCGGAUGUCAGUGAUCGGCUACAAGCCCAGGCCUAUCGACACGAGCCCUCUAUUUUCAUCAUAGAUAUUUUUUUUUUCACAAAUUAUUUUUUAAAAUUUAUCGUACCAUAAAAUUAUCGAUAAAUUAAGGAUAUCAAACUGAUAACUAAAUUUCGAAACACAUCUAAUAUUUACUAUCAUCUCUUUAGUAGUUUUCGAUGUCUAGAAUUUACUAUUUGACGAUUAUACUAGUACUCCACAUAUUCCUAUUUAUUUCUAGAUUUUCGACGAGGGAAGUAAUAUUAAUAAUGUACUUAUAUCAGUGCUGGAAAAGAACUAUCUACUAAUUGAAUUUGAUCAAAUAUAAUUUUUUUAUCUAAUUAGUUUGUAGCUAAAACAAAAUUAUUAAUAUAAUCGCCCUUAGGAAAGUUUAAUUUAGUUUAAUUAAAGAGUGAUGCACCCCACUUAUAUUUUUUUUAUACUAUUUUGCUUUAUACGAUGACAUAAAGCAUUCAAUUGGAUUGCAGUUAUAACUCGGAGUAUAGAGGUUUAAUUUAUCAGUAGAAUGAUAAUUACAGUAGUUCAAAAAUUAAUAAAAAAGCGUUAUUUUAGCAUCACUUAAAAAUUAUAAAAUUUGUGUAUGAGCAAAGUAUUUUUUUUUUUUAAUUAAUCUCCAUCAGGUGGUGGUUAAUAAAAGAAUGUCAACAAUUGUUUUUCACUAGUCCCUGGUCCCCAAAGUUGCACCUAGUAUUUAUUUAUUUUAUUAAUUAACUACCAAAACAGUGGAUAUCUUAUAGAUACCAUGAGACCAUGCUUCCCCUUAUUUUAGUCAAGGAAAAAUAAACAAUUAAUCUUUGAAUUUCUUAGCAAAUUAUAAUUUAAUUGAUGUUUAUAUUAUAUAUUACACUAGUAUUUUCUAAACAUUUAACUUUAGGCUCUCCCAAUUAAACUAUUUCUGAUCCUUCACUUUGGUUCUUAUUAUUUUAAUCCAACUGGUUAAUUUAUAAGCAGUAAAAUAUGAUGAACGCAGAAGCAGGCGACAUGAAAUAAAAUAUGAAAUGGAUCGAAGAUCGAUCGAUGCACCAUGCAUGAAUGUCAAGAUGCAUGGAAGCAAAAGCAAUAACUUUUGCUUACAAGUAAAUAAUUUAGAAAUUUUUUUUACGUACAUAUCGACCAGCAAUAUUCAACUUUUGAGGACCAAAGUGAAUCUUGGUAAAAAGUUCAAGGACCAAUGGUGCAAUUUAUUACCCAGAAUUUAGCAGUUAAUCUCUUAGCUAAUCAGAUGAACUUACCUAAUUGCUUACGAUAUAUGGCACUAAGAACAUGGCAAAUCAUACCAUUAAUUCUUAAAUACCUACUGUUCUCUGAACAUGAGCAAUUAAAAAGAAACAUCAUAAAUUAAGCAUGAACCUGCCAUAUGUACCAUUCAAAAAGUUUCAUUUUAAACUAACACACUCUCAGCAAUAACCUAAUUAACUUAUGUUAAUGUGAAGUGCGGGCCUCAGCUACUAUCCCUCCUCUCCCUACUCACAUCCCCUCUUUUUUUUCCUUUUGUUUUCCUUUGUCUUACAUUUUCACUUUACCUUUUUUGCCGGUUCUCUGGGAGGUCUUUGCUGCUUCUAUACUAUACACCCCGUUCAUUUUGCUUAAUGAAUAAAGCAGGUAGCUUACUAUCUUUUUCUCAAAAAAAACUUAUGUUAAUGUGCAUGCUAUUGUGUCUAGUAAAUUAUAUAAAGUAAUUAUUUUUAAAAAAAAACUUAAGCUGUUGCGUCUCCACUCAUGUCUGCAAUCGAGAUUUUUUGAUUGACUCUAGAUGUGGACUUAAAUUAAGUGAAAAAAAAAUUAAAUAAUAUUAGAAGCUUGUCGGGACUCAAACUUAAGAUCUUGUGCUUUAAUACAUAUAAAUUAUAUAAAAUAAUCUUUUAGAAAAAAAGCUUAAUUUGCUGAUAUUUAUAUUCAACAUAGCUAUUCUUAUUCAAUUGUGAUAAAGCUCCUACAGUUUGCUUCGGGGUUAAGAAAAAAUUAGUUAUUUCAGGGAUAGGGUUAAGUUCAGGGCUAAGGUGGGGUUAGAGCAUUUUUAUGUUUGGUUAAGAAUUGGAGUUAGUCCAGAAUUAAAGAAAAUAGUGUUUAGUUGGAGAAGGUGGGAUAAGAAGGAUAGUGGGUAAAAUAAUGUUUUGUUUGGUUGGAGUAGUGGGGUGGGGUGGAGUUAUCUGGGGUUAGCUAACCCCAUCCCAAAUGGGUGGGGGUUAGCUAACCUCACCCCCCUAAAAUCAUGUUUGGGAAUAAAACCGGGGUUAAGGGGUUAUCCCACCCCUUAACCCCAAACCAAGUGUUUAGUUAGGGGAUAGGGAUAGGCAUAGGCCCUUAUCCCCCCUUUUAUACCCAAACGCUAAUUUUUUACUCAAGAACAGUAGUUUUCGGUUACCUAUAAUAACCGGUUAUAACUAUUCCCACCAACACCUCCAUUUUCUAUAUAAAACUACCUAAUAUUUUUCUUAUUCUAUAUUAUCUAUCCAAACGCUAUUUUUCUUAUCCCCGGGAACAACCCAAUUUUCAUCCAAACGUUAUUUUUCUGAUCCUCAUACUUGUACCCAUCCCUAUAAUAGCUAGUUCAUGCUCAUACCCGAACCAAACGAUAAGAAUUAAAGAAAUGCAUGCAAAAUGAGUCAUUUCUCUUAUUAGUGUAGGCAUGAAUAUCAAUUUUUAAGAUCCACAUAAAAAUAAAUUGGAGGUUUUAGCAUAUAAAAAUAAAUUAGAGAUACAUAAUAUUUACGUGAUUCGGCCACUGACCUACGUUGACUGGCGAAGGCGGAGCGGAGAUCUUCAUUAUAAUAGUAGUGAACAAAAUAUGCCUCUCUCGCAAAACCCUAAUUCCAAAAAUACAGCCAAACUCUUUCUCAUCUGCUGCACCAAAUCAAUGGUAUAAAUAGUAUAUUUAUAAUAGUGGCUAACUCCUAAUAUGAUUAGGAAUAUAAAUCCACUAAGACUAGAAAUAUAUUAAUUAGAUUAGGCAUAAUCUAAAUUUAAUACAGAAUAGGGUUAGAAAACCUUGCGGUUCUAGAAUUAGAGACAUAUCUAACAACAUAUGUAUCUAUGUAUAGUUAUAAUUAAAUCUUACAACCCAAGCACCCUAGGAUUUACAAAAAUUCAAAUAAAAUUUUAGUUAAAAAAUAAUAUUAAAUUAUAAGGCAAGGAAGGAAGAAGAGUCUUUGGAUGAAUGAGAUACAAAAUGUAUACUUAGUUUAGAGGGCGUACAAAUAGAUAAUAUACAUAUUUUUUUAUUAUUUAUAUGCACGGUAUAAAAUUGUCAUGUAAGUUUAUCUGCAUAUCAAAAACCAGCAAAACAAAAUCAUGUGUGAUUAAAAAAAAACUUUGUAAUAGGUAUUCUAGAGAGGUUCUAAUGUUCUAUACAUAAUGAUAUUUGUGUACUGAGACAUGUAAGAUAGUGAAGAACCUAAUGGACGUAAUAUAAUAACUUUACGUUGGAAUAUGUAUCAAAGAAAAAAAUAGAUUCUUAUAUUUGAACACAAAGUACGUAAAAAGCUUUUGGUUAUAAGUGUUGGUAUUCUAUAUGGAAUGAUAGCUAUAAAGAACACUUUCCUUUCUAUUGGGUCGAGAAAAAAAUAUACAAAUAUUGUUUUUUUUUGACAACUUAAAUUUUUAGAUAUGAAAUCAUUUGUUUUACAUUAUUUAACAUCUUAAUUUAGUAGAAAAAUUUUCAGCUCAUAUUUUACCGAAUUGCUAAGUGUUUUGAGCUCUAAGGGGCCAUUUGUUUAAAUGUAAUUAUAAAUAUAGUGUGGUUAGAGAUGCAUAUAGUUGAAAAUGCAGCAGUUACAACUGCAUGCAUCUUAUUUGGUUGGAUGUAGUAGAAAACACUGCAAGUAUAAAUAAUUUGUUUGGUUGCAUGCAUUUGAGAAAUAAUUUUUAAAAUUUUAUUAUUUUAUAUAUAUGAUGGUGAGAUUACCUCUAAUGUAAAAAAGAAAAAUAAUUUUUGUUUAAAAAAUAAUUGAGCAGGUAAGCAUACUUUUUAUUUAAUGUUACUCUCUCCAACUACUGCAGUUUGAACUACAGCUAAUUUGGGCGUAGUUUAAACUGCUGCAGUUGGGUCUCCUCCUGCCGUUCCUAUUGUAGCAAUUAAAAUUAAAUACAUCACACCAAACACCGAAUUUGUAUUUGCAUACAGUUACAAGUGCAGUGUAGUUGCAAAUACAUACAACCAAGCAUCUCUUAAUAUAAAGUAUUGAACAUAUAGUAAUAAAAUAUUAUUCUUUAACAGCAUAAAUUUUUGAAAAUAAAAGUGGAGAUCAGAGUAAUUUUUUAUUACUAGGAAUGUCUCUUGAUAGAACUAGACCAUUUUAAUUAGGCCAGGGUCAGGAUAAACUUUGCUACAUAUUUGGCUUGGCCAUUUUGUCAAAUUGAGCUUAGUUAGGUCCAUAUUGUUUUCAUUAGUGGAUACCUACCCAACCCAAACCAACUCAACCAAAAAGAUUGUCACACCCUAAGCUAAUGAGAUAGAUCAGGCUUUAUAGAUUUUGACUUAACUGCUUCCAUUAAUGCUUUAAUUACCUGUACCUAGUGGCCUUGAUUCUUGAACCAAGCAUACCAUGCUACAAUUAGGUUAAACUUUACUUUCCCAAAUUUAUUGUAUAAUUAAGAACCCAAACUGGAUUCAGAUUCAAGGCCAUAUUGACUACCUAUUGUUCCUUACUUUUUUGUACGAACCUUCUUUGCUUUUUGUUUUCUAAUUCACUAAAUUUUUUUAUGAUCGUAAACUUUUCGAUCUUAUCGAAUAUGUCUGCCAAAUUUGGGAUUAUGAUAUGAGUGUGCUAAGGUCAGAUCAAGUUGGUCCAAUCGAACACGCAAAGGGGCCAUGCAUGCCCACUAUAUCCUGCAUCGAUCAGCUUUCAUAGUGGGAUUACUAUUUCUCGCGUAGCAGCGGCAAUAAUUGAUCGCGCAAAUCUAACUUUUCGAUUUGAUCUCCUUCUUAUGCUAUAUUUCAUCUUUUAACAAAAUAUUAUUGGUUGAUUUUGUCAUGUACGCAAAUAAAGAAUCUAUUAAGAAACUUUUAGUUCCAUUGUUUGUUCCUUCAUGAAUCUCAAGCAAAAUCCCCCAAAGCAAGGAGGGAUCCCCUUAUUAUUAUUAUAUAUAUUAUUACUUAGCAUUUAAUUAAUGAGAUUUAUAAGAGACACACACGUCACCUUAAUGUGAUAAUGGGGGACAUAACAUAGUGGGGACAAUGAGACAAUGUCCUAACUAAAGGAGAUCCCCCCCAUCCCCUUAAGAAAAGCCAUGUAUAUCCAAGAUCCACCACAUAAUAUUAUUUGUGAAAUGAAAUCACCCUCACAUGCACUUUUUUUUCUUUUUCUUUUUUUUUUUUGUUGCUUGCAUGUAACUCUAUCUUAACUCUUUCUCUCUCAUCAUUUCAAAUAAGUAAAUGAUCUUAGACCCUCCAUAAACAAGGGAACACAAGAGAGACACACAACACAAGGGUGCUCCAAAGCACAAGGAUUAGCGCUCGAUCGGAGCGCUAAUCCGACGCGACAAGAGGCACUGAUAAAGAGUAGAUAGUAGAUGCCUUAUGUCCAGGUGAAAAAUAUUGAUAUGAAUAAUCGACGCAUGCACCACAAACAGAAAGUAGGUGGAAGGAUGAUGCAGGAUCACUUCUUGUGAAUAGUGUUUCGUAUCAAAACUAAUUGAAUAACUACAAUAGAAUUAACUUAUAGCGACAUAUUUUUAGAACAUUUUUGUGUACGUGUUUUAUUUAUGCUAAAUUUUUUUAAAAAAAAAUCUGCUAAGUUCUAAAUAUAAAGCCUAAUCCAACCAAAAAUAAAAUGUUACUAAAUACUUGUUACAAACAGAAAAGGAAAAGAAAAAAAAAAUCGAUCACCAUCACCUUUUCUCCCCUCAUUCAAUCCACUAAAACCCUAGACGAAGAGCUCCCUCGCUCUUCUUCUCCUCCGCGCCGCAGCCGACAAGGUAUGAUACUGGCGGUUGCUAAAUGUUUAAAUAAGUACCGAUAAAUUAGCAGCAUUUUUUUAGAUUAUACCAACACUCUUAAACUGUCACUAUAUACCUAGCGACCCCACAUAUAGCAACAUUUUUUUAAAAGUGUAGAUAAUUUAGCUAACAGUAUUUUUUUUUACCUGUACCGAUAUUUAAAAGUGUCGUUAUAUACUGUUUUGUUGUAGUAAGUGGUGAUGCAUGACAAGUUGAUCUUGUUUUUGAGUUGAUUAAUAUAAUUACUUUUUGAAAAGAAAAAUUCAGAUAUUUUUUUUUAUCCCUCUCUUGCGGAAUAAAUAAUUGUGAUAUCCAUCAGCACUUAUGUCAAAUAUUUCUUUUCUCAGAGGAUCGGUACAUUUGAUUCCUCUAUAAUUAAUCGUAGCUAUAUAUAACUUGAACAAAACUUCACCGGAAAGCUUCCCAGCAAAAAGGAGGUGUGUGAAUUGUCGGAUUGCUGUUAUUUAAAUUUCGAAACGAGUUUCGAGUAUGAUCUGAUACGUGAACUUCGAAUGAAAUAGUUGGUGAAGUUUGUUUUUCUCUUCCAUUUAAAUGAUAAUAUGCCCACUGGCAUUCAAACUUAGGCAUUAUGUUCUGAUAUUACGAACAAUAAUUGAUUUAUUAAUGUAAGUGGUUGAAAAAAAAAAAAAACGGAAAAAUCUAUCAUUUUCCUUUCAUUUCAAAGAGUCAAUAGAAUGAUAUAAAAUGCAACUUGAAAUAUUUUAAUUGAUGGUAUACUAAAGAAAGAAAUGCGAAUUUUCAUAUCCGCUAUACUAACGGUCCGUGAUGUAAUGUUAUAUUUGGGAACCGUUUAAUUCACAAUUUGCAAUAUUUUGAAAUUUUAUUAUAUAAUUUAUAUAUAAAAUGACAAAUUUAUUACUAACUAAUCAAGCUACUUAAUUAAAUUAAAAUAUUGUUAAGAACUAGUAUUUAUUUUUAUUAAUUAAGUAUUAAUAAUUCUCAUCCAAUAUGAAAGUGAAAGUAUCUCCUAGUUCAUAAUAAUUUAAUAUUCCUGCCACGAACAUAAUAAUCUACAACGAUUCGAUUACUUCACUAAGGGGCCGUUUAGUUAUAUAUAGUUGCAACUGCACUGCAGUUGUAACUGUAUAUAAAUACAAAUUUCGUGUUUGGUUUGAUGUAUUUAACUCCAACUGCUGCAGUAGGAACUGCAGGAGGAGGCCCAACUACAGCAGUUCGAACUACGUCAAAAUUGGCCGCAGUUUCAACUACAGCAGUUGGAAAGAAUAACUUUAAAUAAAAAGUAUGCUUACCUCCUUAAUAUUUUUUAAACAAAAAUUAUUUUCUUUUGUUACAUUAGAGGUAAUCUCACCAUCAUAUAUAUAAAUAAAUAAAAUUUUAAAAUUAUUUCUCAACUGCAUGCAGCCAAACAAAUUAUUUACACUUACAGCGCUUUCUACUACAUCCAACCAAACAUGAUUCAUAUAGUUAUAACUGCUGUAUUUCGAACUGCAUACAUCUUUAAUUAUACUGCAUUUAUAAUUACAUCUAACCAAAGGGCCCCUAACAUGCAUAUUAUACAACUACUCCGCUUGAAUAUAACGAUAAUAAUUUAAAUAUUUUUAAUAAAAAAAUAUGAAAAAAAAUCUAAAUAUUGUAUGAUCGAGAAUUCAACGGGCCCUCAUAUCAAUUUGCUCCAUAAUUAAUCAACUCUUGGUUUCAUAUAUAGAAUUAUUAACAAAAGUUACUCAAUCUCCUAAAGGGAUUCGUAUCAUGCCUUAGGUCAUCUCCAUUGUCUUUCACAUUGUAUCACAUGUUUCCUCAUCGUAUUAUUCUAUUCCUCUACACUCAUUGUGUCUCCUCCCACAUCGUUAUAGCCUUUUUGACUCUUGUACAUGUACUAACUCAUAAAAGUGUUGUUUUCUACUACCCAGUUGAAUAGAUUCCACUCGGCUUAAUUUCUACUUGGUUAAUAAUUUGAGUAGGUCCUGUAUGCUAUUAGGUGUACGGAGGCUUUUAUACUUUUAAAUUAUUUUUGAUGAUGAGACUUUUGAAUUGACGAUCGGCUCCGUUAGACUUAAUCUAUUGUAUUUGAAAUAUCUAGAAAAUAAAUUUUACAGUUUUUCGAAAUUAUUUACCUAGCGAUCAAAAAAAUUCAAAAUCAACGGCUAAAAAUAAAAAUCUCACAAAAAGUGGUGAUAUAACGCUAAAAUUUUUUAUCAAAGAUAUUGACCUUGCAGUAAGUGGUAUAAAGAUUUUUUUAUAUAUAUAUAUAUAUAUCUCAUUCCGAUGAUACGAUAGCCUUCGUGCCUCGGAAGGCACGAAGGUCGAGCAAAAGCUACAACGUUGAAAGCUUAGCAGCUAGCCGGGGCAAUUUGAACUAGAUCUCAUAAACUUCAUGGAUCUUUUAUUUAAAAUACCAAAAUGCUAUAGUAAACGGAUCACUUGCUUCCCCGAGUUUUAGUUGCCGACUUUUAUUUUUAGAAUGUUUUAUAUUAUUAUACUGUAAUUUUAAAAUUUAAUUUCUAUAACUAGAACAAAAUAUAUCAUAUUUCUUAAAAAAUAAUUUUAAAGUGCACUAAACCUAUAAAGAUGUGGCAAUUUGAACGUUUGCCGAGUGAUGCCGGUAACUUUAAAUAAUUAAAACUCGGGUAAGCUAGUGAUCCGUUUACUAUAGCUUUUUAUUAUUUUAAAUAAAAGAUCCAUGAGGUUUAUGAGAUCUAGUUCAAAUUGCCUCGGCUAGCUGCUAAGCUUUCAGCGUUGUAGCUUUUGCUCGACCUUCGUGCCUUCCGAGGCACGAAGGCUAUCGUAUCAUCGGAGUGAUAUAUAUAUAUAUAUAUAAUAAAAAACUACAGUAAACGGAUCACUAGCUUAUACGAGUUUUAGUUGUUUAAAGUUACCGGCAUCACUCAGCAAACGUUCAAAUUGCCACAUCUUUAUAGGUUUAGUGCACUUUAAAACUAUCUUUUAAGAAAUAUGAUAUAUUUUGUUCUAGUUAUAGAAACUAAAUUUUAAAAUUACAGUAUAAUAAUGUAAAAUAUUCUAAAAAUAAAAGUCGGCAACUAAAACUCAGGGAAGCAAGUGAUCCGUUUACUAUAGCAUUUUAGUAUUUUAAAUAAAAGAUCCAUGAAGUUUAUGAGAUCUAGUUCAAAUUGCCUCGGCUAGCUGCUAAGCUUUCAGCGUUGUAGCUUUUGCUCGACCUUCGUGCCUUCCGAGGCACGAAGGUUAUCGUAUCAUCGGAGUGAGAUAUAUAUAUAUAUAUAUAUAUAUAUAUACAUAUCAUAAUUCGAGAACCAUGAUAAUUCAAAAACCGGCAACCUACUUUCCUACACUCCAAUUUAACUAUCACCAGAGGAUCCCAACUCACCCACCAACCAAAUUAUCAUAUUAGAUUGCCCACCUUUACUAGUUUCCUAUCUAGAUUGCCAUCUUUUGAGUUAUCAUAGUUCUCGAAGCAUGAUAGUUAUCAUAUCAUCGGCUUGAUAUAUAUAUAUAUAUAUAUAUAUAUAUAUAUAUCAACCUGACCCGAUGAUAAUCAUCGUUUUAAGGUAACAACGAUACUCAAAAAAUCGGAAACCUAGUUGAGAAAAGUAAUAAAGAUUGGUAACCUAAUUUAUGAUAUUGGGUCACCCCUGGUGAAUUGGGAUCCCCCUGGUGAAUUGAGAUUGGCUGAUUAUAGUAGAACUGGAAUGUUAAAAAGUAGGUUCCCAAUUUUUGAACUAUCGUUUUUUUAGCAAAAUGAUAAUUAUUAUAAGGUCGGAUUAAUAUAUAUAUAUAUAUAUAUCUCUCUCUCUCUCGAUGAUACGAUAACCUUCGUAUCUCGUAAACUAUGAAGGCUAUAAAACUAAUAACCUAAUUUUUAAUAUACCAACCCUACUAAUGCCAGGGGGGUCCCAACAAUCAUGGGGAUCCCACAUAUAUAUAUAUAUAUAUAUCACUACGAUGAUACGAAAACCUUCGUGCCUCCGAAGACACGAAGGUCCAGCAAAAAGUAUAACGCUGAAAUUUUAGCAGCUAGACGAGGCAAUUUGAACUAGAUCUCAUAAACUUCAUAGAUCUUUUAUUUAAUACGCUAAAAAGCUAUAAUAAACGGAUCACUUGCUUCCCCGAGUUUUAAUUGCCGACUUUUAUUUUUAGAAUAUUUUGCACUAUUAUACUGUAAUUUUAAAAUCUAAUUUCUAUAACUAGAACAAAAUAUAUCAUAUUUCUUAAAAGAUCGUUUUAAAGUGCACUAAACUUAUAAAAAUGUGGCAAUUUGAACGUUUGCCGAGUGAUGCCGGUAAUUUUAAUAAAUUACCAACCACAUAUAGCAAAUGUUCAAAUUGUCACAUCUUCAUAAGUUUAGUUUAUUGUAAAACUANNNNNNNNNNNNNNNNNNNNUAUAUAUAUAUAGUUUUUGAAUGGAUUGUUGUCAACAUGAGUAUCUAUGAUAGUUUCUUUAAAUAAAAAGAAUAUUUUAGAUAUUAACACUUUUAUAUAAACAAAUAUCUAAUUAAGGAUCAGAGAAAGGAUACUUGUGAAAUUAAUCCUAUAAUAAAAGGCUAAAUUUUAAUUAACGUCAAAUAGUUUAGCGUGUUAGUAAUUUAUUAUUUUGUGAUAUAAAAAGUUAUAAUAUAAUCAUGAAAUUUAAACAACCAUUUACGUCAAUGCGUUCUGAUAAACUAAAACAUGAAUUAAGUGAAAGAAAUAGAUUCGAACUCAUAAUUUUCUGCUUUAAUAUUAUAUAAAAAAAACUGUUUGUUUCUAAAUAUUUUAAACUACGAGAGAAUAACAUCUUAAUACUUUAUAUUCAACAAUCUUAUAACUUUAAAUUUGUACAGCUUACAACACGCAGUGUAGUAAACUAUAGUAUAUUACUAUCCUAUAAUUUUUUCUUUAAUUUUACUAUCCGUAGCUCAGUAAAACAUAACCAAAACUAUAGGAUAUCAAAAAUAUAAUUUUUUAUACUAUAAGAUAUUAAAGUUAAAAUGCGCUAAUAUAAAAUGCGAGCAGUCCAAGUUUGAAGUUAAUUACAUUACACUACAUGAAAAAGCUCACAUUGAUGAUAUAUUUUUAUUAGGGUAAUUGUCUAUAUGUCUUUCAAAAUUUUGAAUUUUUUUUUUCCUUUCCAAUAUACUCAUCAUAUGUUCCUCCAUUAUUUCAAAAUACCCCUGCAGUUACCACCUGUUAAGUUAACUUGAAUUAAACAUGAGUUUAAUAUCUAACAUAGUUAAAAAAAAAAAUCAAAAUAUCUUUUUUGCCCUUACUUAAGGGCAAAGAAAAAUUAUUGGUGAUGGUAGAAGGAUAUAUUUGAAAAGAUUAAAAAUUAAAAUAUUUUUUGUUCCCCUAAUUUAAGAAAAAAUAAGAAAAAUCGGUGAUAGUAGAAGAGUUUAUUUGAAAUGACAAAAUAAUAAUUUCAUAGAGAUAACAGCUAUGACUAAUAGUUUAUUAAUAGAAUUUAAUUUUAGAAUUAUAUUUAAAAUAGGUUGAAAUGUAAAAAAAUAUAUUUUCAAUUUUAACCUCUUUUCUUUCAAGAGGGUAAAUCAAAAAAUUCAAAAUUUUUCAAGGAUAUAUAAAUAAUUGUUCCUUUUCUUUAAUAUGAAUACCAUAUGUUGUUCGGAAAGGACUUGAUACCCUCUCAAGUUGGCACGUGACACACAACGUGCUGCCCCGCGAUCACACGACAAAUCCUCAUCGACGGCGUCAGAUGUUCAACGGUUCGUACAGUGACACGUGGCACGUGAUCGCUGAGCAACCACCACUUCGAUGUAAGGGUCCAAAAGGCCUAAAUUAAGAGAAGUCUAAUGUGUAACAAUUAUACUAUCAUCAAAUAAUGUUAAAUUAAUUAUAUUUUUUUAAAAAAUAAAUAAAAAUAUUUUUUUAUAAUUAUGAUAGGAAGAAUAAAUACAAAAGAAAAUAUUUGAUUAGCUAGAGACGUUGCGUAACUAAUGUAACAUAUGUAUUUUAAAAUCUAUUUCUAUUCUUUCUUCUACAUUAAAGGAGGGUUUGGGCGGUCCAUAGGGUGACACCUGUCACCCCCCAAACCCUCCUUUACUCUCCCCUCUCUCUCUCUCUCUCUCUAUAUAUAUAUAUAUAUAUAUAUAAUUUUUAAUUUUUAUAUCAAAAUUUAAAAUUUUCAUACUUUCAAAUUUUAAAGUUUUAAAUUUUAUAUUUUAUAUUUUAAAUUCUAAAUUUCAAUUUUAACUUAUAAUAUUUAUUUCCAAAUUUUAAACUUCAAAAUUUAAAAUUUUAAAUCUCUAAGCUCUAUGAAAUUAAUUAAUUAAUUUUAUUAAUAAUUAAUUAUAUAUAAUUAAUUAACUUUAUUAAUAAUACACGUUAUAAAUCGCAUAAUAAAAUCUAACCUGAUAGAUGCAAUUUAAAUCACGUAAAAUAUUACAGUAUAGAAAAAUACAGAAUUUAAAUUCAGGAGUAAAAUUUUAGAAAUAUAGUGUAUGUGUGUAUAUAUAUAAUUAAAUUUAUUAAACAAUUUCUUCUACAAUUUUAUUUUCCUUCUAUUUAUUGAUUUUUUUAAAAUUAUUUUGAUAGAUUUAUCUCCAAUCCUUUUCAUAUAAAUCUUUAUAAAAUAAUUGUUGUAUAAAUUUACUUUGCGUAUAUACCAAUUUUAAUGACUUUUAUUUAAAUAGAUUUAACUAUUAAAUCAUUUUUAUAUAACUUUUAUUUAAUUAAUAAUUAGACUUAUAAAACUAUAUAAAAAUAUUAAAAAAAUAAAAUUUAUUGUCAAAAUAUUUUUAGAUCCGCAGCAUCGCGCGGGUAUUUCACUAAUAUUUUCUAAAUUAGAGGGAUCAGCUCAAGUACAAAGAAAAAAAUCAACUUUUUUAAAAAAAUUAUUUUAAUUAAUAUUAAUUUUAUAUUUAAUAAAAUAUUUGACUGACCAGAGAAGGAUAAAUUAUCUCUUCUUUGAGAGGACUAAAAAUUAAUAAACUUCAAAAUUCUCCUUCUACAAAAAAUUUUGGAUCAUAUUUAAAGCAAAAUUAAAAAUUCAAACCCUACUUCAAUUAAUCCCGAGAUUUUAGUAAUUAUCCUAAUACAAAUAUAUCUAAUUCUAAUUUAAAACGUUCAGAAUUUUAUCCCUAAUUUUUAGAAAUUUAUUUCUUUUCGAAAAAUUUUAAAAAUCUAAAAAGAAUCACUCAAAGAGAAUUAUCAAAAAUAAAAUUUCGAAAAUUGAUAAAAGUUUAAUCCUAAUUACUUUUGACUGCGUCAUAUAAAAUGGAAAAGAGUCUUUCUAAAAUAAUUUGUUUGUAUGUUCUCGCUAAGCUGAACUCAAAAUGUAAUAAAUCAUACAAUUACUCAAAAUUUUAUCCAAAUUUAAAUAAAGAUCAUGCUGAGUGAUUAUGGUUUUUGCAACUCUCGGAUCCGAGCUCGUAUCUGAAACCAAAUUCGAGAAGAGAACCUUCUAAAUUUAAAUGUACAUAAACACUCUUAAUUUAAUAGGGCUCAAAUCAAAAUACAUGCACCUUCUUGAAACAAUAAUAGAUUUUGGUAUAAUUGCUUCCGAUCAAAAAAUGUUCAUUACGUAAUCUUUUACUUAAUUACUGGUAUCUCAAGUUUUUUAAAUUUUACUUGGUAAAUUUUAGUUAUCGAUAUAGAGUUGAAAUUUGGUUUCAGGUUUGCAGAUUUCGGUAGAGAGAACCAAUUUCACUUUAUAUUUUCAAAAUUUUACUUAAUUUUAGUAAAAUUAAUUUUAGUUAAGUAAUUAAAUUUUACUUAAUUUUACUUAAUUACUUUAGUUAAGUAAUUAAAUUUGGUUAAAUUUAAAUUUAAGUAAUUAAAUUUGGUUAAAUUACUUUACUCUUAAAUUUUAGUUAAGUAAUUAGAUUUUACUUAAUUACUUUAUAUUUUCAAAAUUGAACUGUUAUGGUUUAAAAUUUGGUUGAGAGAACCAAUUUCACUUUUUUCAAAAAGCAAAGCCUAUCCAACACAUUGACACCCCUAAAGUCUAGAUAUCUAUUUAUCACCUUGUGUGUAAAAUAGAGAAGCUAUUUCACAAACCAAUUCAAAUCGUAUGGACGAACCAGAUUUUGUUAUUGAACCAAAAUCAUAUGUAAAAAGCUAAACAAGAAGCCAGCAUAAGCUCUAUUUAAUCUGCAAACCAAUAUAAUCCAAAAAAUUUACACAAUUUCCAAGCUGCGCGGAACAGUUUAAUCAGGAUAAGGAACUACAAUUGCAGAUCGAGUUAUAAAAGUUUGUUCUCAGUUUUCCGAAAGUUCUGCGUCUUAAGAAGCUGUCACCUUAGUUACAACAGCAGAAGCAAAGCCUAAAAGAGGGAUUUUAAACAUCGACAAGUUAAACUACAUACAUGGACACCACAUUUAUGUUCUAAACAAGAUAAAAAAAGUCUAGACCUUACCUGCGGCGUAGCGCAUUUUGAAAUAAGUACCUAAGCUUUGAAAGUCAUUUAUUAUACUACCCGACUUUAGUAGAUUUAUCAGAUGGGGUAUUUCGUAAAUAAUCAAGGUUAGGUAGUAAAGUAAAAAUUUUCAAAGUUCGUGUAAUUGUUUCAAAAUGCGCUCAUGAUGCUUCGGAGAAGGCCCUUACGAUUUCACCUUUUCUCAACAACUACAGAACGCUAAGAAAUCAUCUUCACCUUCUGCAGAAGAAAAGAAGAAUACAAUAAAAGAGGAGAACGAAAAGACUGUUGUACGAAAUGUACGGUCUACAUAGUUAAUACCUUAGCCGAGCUACAUUAUACUAUUGCAGCACGGUUUCCGAGUAAAAUCUACUAGGGAGGGGGUGUCGGCAAUGCUUUAGGCUUCGGCUUGACUUCGACUUCAUUAACACUCCGCACAAAGAUCGCAUCAGGCUCAUGCCUACAAAAAAGUAAGAUACUACUUAGAGGCAACAUUUUAAGUGGGGAAAAAAAUUCCACAGGCCAAAAUGUAAAUUAUAGUAUGCUCACGGCAUAUCUCCCUCUUCGAAAGUGUAGCUCGAAGCCACUGCAAGCAGACGGCCAUCUCUGCUGAAGGACAGUGCAGCAAUGCUCGUCGGAUAUUUUGAAUACUGUAAAAGGAAGAGCAUAUCUUUGUCAUCCUCAACACCUUCGCAGGCGUAUUUUGAAAGCACAUACAUUGAUUGAAGUCUAUUACCUGAUAUAGUCUUUUCUUGUUGUUACCAUCCCACACAUUCACAUAACCGUCACAUCCACCGGUUGCAAAUGUCCCGUAGCUGCGUGUUAACAUUGUAUGAGUAUACAAUAGAAUAGUUACAUGUGCACAUUUGCAUGAGAGGAAGGGGAGAGAGAAAGGGAAAUACAUGGGAUGGAAGGCAAUUGCAUUGACUGGGUAAACAGUGUCCCUCCCUGCCUCGGAUUUCCGGUGGCAUUUGAAAGCAUAUCUGGAGGAAAAAGCACUCCAAAUAAGAAUCAUUAUGUAAAUAAAUUAGAGCUAAGAGAAGGUUUCUGCAAAAUGAUGCCAUGCGGACAGUUCGUCACAAAUUCUAUUUGCCCAUGUGGCGAUUCCAAGUGCCAUACGGACAAUUUUCAAAUUCCAAAAGUUAAAUAUAGAUUUCUAUCAUAAUAUCUCCUGAUUCUCUUAUUAUCUAUAACUGUCGAUCCAAUGCAGUACUUCAUAUUUAAUUUCUAUUUAGUCUCUAUCACCAUCUCUGCUUGACUUUUUUGGUUAAUAAGGUAUUGAUUAUAGAUAAUAACAAUCAAACAAAUCCACGACGUGUAUUUCCAGGAUUGACGACUAUUUUGUAUAAUGUGAGCAAAACCACCACCAGUAUGGACCCGCACACUGGGACAACUGGCUUUUAAUAUAAGGAAAGUAAGAGUUAAUAAGGGUGGGAAUUAUGACGAGUUAAUAGCAUAAUUAUGUACUCAAACACAUGAUAUCUCUAUUGAGGACCAAAAGCUUUGAGCAUGGCGAACUUAUAGAAUAAAUGAUGUUAUAUUUUGGGGGUCAUAUUUUUAUACUUUGUAGCACUAUCUUUCAACCUAGAAGGAAAGAAAGAUCAUACUUUUUAGCUUGACCAGCCUCAGAUAAAUCAAAGAAUUCCAUAGCAACCCUUCCUUCCACAGAACUGAGCGCGAAACCUGAAUCAGAUAUCUACCCAGGUCAGAAAUUAUCCUCAGAUUAAAGAAAUAUAUUGAUAUGCCCAAGAAAAGAACUUUAUAGAAAGGAAAAAAAAAGGCAGUGUUCUGCAUGAAAAAUGUGAGCGACACCUGUGUCUAACAACAAAAAACUAGUGAAGGUUAAUAGGUGCAUUCUUAUGCACCUAUGGAAUUUGUAGCACUAUAAGACAUAUCUAAUAGAGUGGGCAAAAAUUACAAACUGUAUCUUUGUAAUGAAACAUAACACCCAGAACUUAGUAGCAUUAUAGGGUAUAAAUCUAAAAGGAGUCCACUAAGAAGCAAUGUGAAGCUUUGUGGAAGAAACAGAAUAUGCUUUUGCAAAACCUACUAGUGCUCUAUUUGAGCUUACAAGUGUAUGUAAUAUAUACCUGUCCCAUUAGGAUAGCAACGAACACAUCUGGUUUGGUAUUUUAAAGAAGACUCCCUCCUUUGCUCAGGUUGGGACAUGUUUCGUAGAUCAUAGACAUUUACUCGCCGCCCUGCUGUUGCAACAACCAAGUGAUGACCAACAAGAGAAAGGGAAUACACGCGUUCUGGUUGUUGGUAUGUUCCAACAAGUGUGCGAUCUGGCCCGCUUGCACCUCUAGGGUCCCAGCACUUCAAUGUCUUAUCCCAACUGCCCGUGAUCACUUGGCCUGACAUGAUAUACAAAAAGAUAUCAGAAUCCAUCAUAAAAAAGCAUAAGGUACCAGAAUAAGCACACCAAGUAUCUAGUCCUUGCAAAAGAAAAAACCGUGUCACCACAUAAAACAAUUUGUUCAUGAGUCUACAUAAGGCCACAAAAAAAAAUCAGCUGCACCACAUAGAGGGUUGCGAUUAGCCGUAUAUGAUGGAAAGAGAAAGAAGAGCACAAAGCCUUCACAUAUAAUUUUACAGGCAUAACUGAAAUUAUAUGUCUGGUGACAAAGAUUUGUUAGUAUUUACCAAUACAAUAAUAGGAAAAGAUUCUAAUUAUUAUGCCUUUGUACAACCCCAAGAAUUGUUUGACUUGUUUUAAUGCUAUGUUUUUUCUUUUUAAUUCUAAUUACAUGUAGUAGAACUCUUAAUGCAAUUUAGUUUUCUCCGUAGUUGAGACAAUGUCAGCGUCGGCGCUAUUUGUUGAACAGAAGAUGGCUAAACAAGUAGAUUACAGUUUGUAGCCCCAGUAGGGGAAAUAAUUACCAGAUGGUCAUUGGUUGGGAGGAAAGUUGAAAAUCAAUCUUCUUUAACAUUAAACUUCAGAAUUAAAACACAAUAGCUUAAUAAGUACAACAAUACAGCUACCUGCAGCAUAAGAAUACUCUACACAACGGACGGGAGCAUCAUGUCGUCCCAAAAUAUCCUCCUUGCCAGAACUAAAGACAUACCUACAAUAAACAGUUAAUAGGAAACAUUAGCAAAGCUUUUUCACCUGUACUUCUGCAGGAUGGCUAAUGUCAAAGGCAAAUUCAUCAAACACAAACUUAUAUAAGAAAGUUCCCAUUUCAAAAUAACUAGUUACCCAGCAUAUCAUUUCUGUAGACCACAGUCAAAGAAUUUAUGAAAUAGAACAUGCACCACUGCAAUAUGGAGCAUGCAUCAGUAAAAGUUCAAAGCGAGCAAGAAACUGAAAUAAGGUUUCGGUAGUUCAAUAAUUCCCUAGAGAAGAGUAUAUCAUUUAAAAGAAAUGAAUAACAAAUUCAUCAUCAACUAAAUUACUGCUUGGAAGGAAUUUUGAAAAAAAAUCAGCUAUAUGGAAUAAGUUUGACACAAGUAAAAGGGGAAGUAAUAUUGUAAACAAAAUCUUCAAUGUCUGCUGCAUCAAGCAUUAUUCAGGACUUCUAUAAUCUUGCUCCCACAUUCACUGAAACCUACAUUUCGAAUUUUUCAAGAGCAGAGCCACUUAACGCUUGCUAACAUGGAAGUAAAAGAGUCUUAUUUUUUCUAACUAACUGUCGCAAUGACAAUAUUGCAAAGAUUGGCUUUAAGGUGUGUUGCAAUGCCAUUUCCCUUAAGACCUUAUUCAUCCCCAUUGUUCUUUUUGGGUUGAUGACUUGGGAUGCAUAGAGCCAUCAAAGUGCCUCCAAAACACAAUGAAACAUGAACUCCAACUACCUUUUCGCAAACACAAAAUCAUAUAAUUCCAUCAGCUCUCCACCCAUCUAAUACUUUUAAUCCAAUUGUUCAACUUCUAAAUGUACAAAAGUCUGCAACUCAAUAGGUGAUAAGACUGAACAAAUGCAGGAGGCACGAAUGCAGAGCUACACCUACACUGGAUGUAGGCAAUAACUUUUACUCUAAUAGUAAAUUAGGACAAAGAUCAAAUAAAACAAUUAUAGAAUUUAAGGUUUCAAAUAUCAAAUUCAAAAUUUCGACAGCGAAAGUGAAGAUUGUCCAAAGACUAUGAAUCAGUAAUGAGCCCCUGUUAAAGACUACCAUCUAACAUUAAAUUAAGAGAAAAUACUUAUCAAUUGCCACCUAUCUACUGCUUACUCAGAAUAAUAGUGAUAAUUGUAAUAGAUGAAAAAUGGACUAGCAAAUCAUCCAUGUCUAAUCUAAAUCCCAAAAAAAGGAACAAGAAAAAUCACCACUAGUUUACUAAUUGCGGCGUUUUGUCAAAUUGUAGCUAAACAAAGGCAAAAUCUACAGCAAUAGGAGAGAUCUUUCCACAGUAAUGAAUCCAUAAAAGUACAAAUAUGAGGUCAAUAAGGCGAAAAGUGGAAAAGACGACAUCAAAGAACUUCAUCGGUUACCUGCGAACCGUGUGAUCGGCGCAAGCACUGAACCCAGAGGAAUCAUCAUGGAAGCAGCAGUCGAGAACCGGCCCCCCGUGCACGAACUCACCUUUGAGUACGUUCGCGCCGGCGUCGUAGAGCCGAACCGUCUACGAUCAAACACAGAUCCGGCCAAAAAUUAGGGUUUCAGAGGGGGGGGGGAGGGAAGAGAAGAAGGGUUUGUUACCUUGUCCCAAGAGGAGACGAGGAGGUGGUCGCUGUGGUUGGAGAAGCGCAGGUUGGAGAUCCCGUCGGAGGGAGGGUUGGCGAGCUCCCUCCCGCUGCUGGGAGGAGGGGCGGCGCUCAUAUCCGAGCUUGGGUUAGGAUUAGGGUUAGGGUUUUGAGGAGGAGGAGGCGGAGGAAGAGGAAGGCGAGGGUUUUUGAAUUUGAAACCAACGGGCAAAUCGGAGUCGAGAGAAAGAGAGAGAGAGAGAGAGAGAGAGAGAGGGGCGAGCGAGCUUCGCGGACGGGGAGGUUCAAAAUUCGGAACGGAAUUUAAAAUCGUUUAGGGGGGGGGGUCAGGGGAUGUGAGAUUAUAUACUAUUGUUUUUUUUCUUUUCUUUUCUUUUUUUUUUCUUUUUUUUUUUUUAAGGGACAAUUGCAUAUAGGUUUUUCCAAACAUAAUAAACUACAGAUAUAUUUAUGUAAAGUUCAACUUUUAUAAGUUAUUUCUGUAAAAAUUUUAAUAUUUUCAGAUAUAUCCCUACCGUUAAAAUCCGUUAGAAAAAUUUAGUUAACCAUAGAUUAAAUAUUUUAUCUAGAUUAAUUUUUGACAUUUUUACCCCUCUUAUAUUAUAUUAUUAUAAUUUUUGAAACGACAUAUUUGUGAUGAUAAAAUUGGAAAUAUAAAACCGACCGUCCCUAGAGCAAGUGGCAAAGGGUUUUGUGGUUGGUAUCCGAGACCCAAGUUCAAAUUCUAGUUGAUUCACAUUUCUAGCUAAGUUUAUUUCUAAAUGAAAUAAACGAAGCGGGUAGCGUGUUACCUAUAUCUCAAAAAAAAAAAAAAUGAAAAUAUAAAAAGUUUUCUAACGGUUCUCUAAUGGUAAUAAAUCAGAGGGAUAUAUCUAAAAAUAUUAGGACUUUAUAGAAAUAACUUAUAAAAAUUAAACUUUAUAGGAAUAUAUUUAUAAUUCACUAUAUUUACGGAAACGUGUAUGCAAUUAAUCCUUUUUUUUUUGUGGAUAAAAUCAUUUCCUUCAACUCCAUUGUUCUAGAGCUAGCCAUUUAUUAUUUUUUCUAAUAAACGGAGAACUAAAGCACCCUUUUAAUAAAAUAAAAGGUGUGCUAAAAAAUUUAAACUCUCUGUAUUUUGAUUGAUGUGGUUUAGAAUACCAACCAACUAUACUAGUAACAAUGGCAAUUUUAAUAUUUUUGUUUUAUUGUCGUCACACUGUGUUAAUUAAUGGGGUUAUUAUAAAUAGUUUAGGUAAAAUUUUUGUUGAAUAUUAUUGUUUCAGUAGUUAUUAGCUGUUAAUUAUUUUACUUUUGUUUGCUAAACUAAUUUAAAUUAUUAAAUUUGAUAAAGUUACAGAUAAUAUAUAAAUAAAUAAAUUGAAAAAUAAGAUUAACUUUUAAAUAAGCGUUCAUGAGCAACUUGUCACGAUUCGUUUACACCACUACCACUUAACGAGAUCCAUUUCUAAUUCUGUAGGGUUUGAACCCUACGAAAUAACUUGCAUUAGUAGGUGGAAGAAUCACCCACAUUAUAUACAAAAUUAAACCUAGUUGGAAGAACCGCAGACCGUCUGUAACGUAAGUGGCAAAAGGCUUGGUGGUUAGUACUCGAGGUUCGAAAUUCGAAUUCUAGUGGAUUCAUAUUUUCAAAUAAAUUUAUUUCUAAAUAAAAUAGACGUUAGACGAAGCGGGUAAUAUGCUACCUAUCUCUCAAAAAAGAAAAAAAGAAUUAAACCAGACUAAUUAAUGGGGACCAAACAUAAAAGAGGUAUGAACCAAAUUUUGAGACCAUGUUAUAGAGCUCAAGUCCAGCUCAAAAGCUUAAUAGAUGGAGAAGCUUUUCACAUGCUAAAAUAGGCUGGAAAAAAAAAAAAACUCUCUGCACCUUUAAGGUAUUCUAUUGUUCUAAGUGAUUUCAGAGGAACUUAGAUCUUGGAUCAUAGGGUUUGGCCAUGCAUGGCCAUGAGACCAUGUUAUAGAGCUCAAGUCCAGCUCAAAAGCUUAAUAGAUGGAGAAACUUUUCACAUGCUAAAAUAGGCAGGGAAAAAAAAAAAAAACUCUCUGCACAUCUAAGGUAUUCUAUUGUUCCAAGUGAUUUCAGAGGAACUUAGACCUUGGAUCUUAGGGUUUGGCCAUGCAUGGCCACGAGCCUCUCCUCACCCGUCCGGCACGAUGUAGGCUUGUUUCGGGCUAUACCGUGCCGUGUCAGGCCGACAAGCCUAGGGAAGAGACUCAACACGGUCCCAAAGUUUGGGCCAGGUUGAGCCGGCACUGAUGCUACAGCAUCCAUACUGUUCUGCAGGCUGCCCGCUUUACAUUCUUAAUUUUUUUUAAUUGUAGAGAGAUGGAUAGUGUAUUUUUUUUUAAAAAAAAUUGAAAUCAUAAUUUAUGCAAAUCAUGUAAAUAAAAUAAAGCCUUUUUGCAUAAAAAAAAUCACUAGUUUUCAGAUUUUGCAAAAAGUUGGCAAUUAUUUUGAAUUUUACAAAUUCAAUUUGAAUUUUUAAUAAACUAUUCAAAAUAUUCUUAUCUCUUUUUCUCUUUUUUUUUUUUUUCAGUUCAUCCCCGCCCUCUCCUUCUCCUACUUUCUUUCCCUUCUUCUUCUCCACCGCCUCUGCAUCGACGCCGCACUUUCUCCUUUUUUUCGCUCAUUUGUUUUUCUCCUUCUGCUCUGAUUCAUCUCCCUUUUCGUCAUUUCUUCCUCUCUUUCUUCUCUUGCUUUCUUUCCAUUUUCCUCCUCUUCCUCCACCGCCCUUACAUCGACGCCACUCUCCGCUCUCUUAUCUCGCCCACACCUCUACCAACGCUAGUAAAGGGCGAGGAAGCGAGAGCAAUAGCGAAAAUAGAUGUAGAAGUUGAAAAAAAAAAAAGAAAAAUAAAAAGAAAAAAAUAUAUAUUUUUUCUUUUGUAAAGACUAUUAUAUGUUGUCGUUGCUACAAAAAAAGCCAAAAACCAGAGGAGAGAAAAAGAAAAUAAAGUUACACUAUUUGAAAUAAAAAUUACACUGAUUAAGAUGAAAAUUUGUUUGAGAUGAAAGUUGCACUGAAAAUUACAUUUAUUAAGCGAAAGUUAUACUCUUUAAGCGAAAAUUUUGUUGUUUGAGAAAAAAUUACACUGUUUUAAACAAAGCUUGUACUCUUUGAGCGAAAAUUGUACCGUUUGAGACGAAAGGUGCACUCUUUGAGCAAAGUUAGAACAUUUAAAACUAUUUGAGAUUAAGUUGCAUAACAAAAAAUAGAAGUUGCACUGUUUUAGACAAAAUUGCACUGUUUGAGACUAAAUUACUCUAUUUGAGACUUACAUCAUUUAAACUAUUUGAACUAAGUCUCAAACAGUGUAACUUAGUCUCAAAUAAUUUUAAAUGGUAUAAUUUGCCCUGAAAAAGUACAACUUCUAUUUAUAUGGUGCAACUUAAUCUCAAAUAAUUUUAAAUGAUACAAUUUCGCUCAAAAACUAUAAUUUUCGUCUCAAACAGUACAACUUUCACUCAAACAUUAUAAUCUUUAUCUCAAAUAGUACAACUUUUGCUCAAAGAGUGCAAAUUUUAUUUCAAACAAUAUAAUUUUUUCUCAAACAGUGCAACUUCUAUUCAAAGAGUGCAGCUUUCACUUAAAUAAUAUAACUUUGCUCAAAAAGUACAACUUUUGUCUCAAACAGUAUAAUUUUUGCCUGAAAGAGUAUAAUUUUCGUCUUAAAUAGUGCACUUCAUUAUCUUCUUCUUUCUCCUCUGGUUCUUAGUCUUUCCUGUAGCAGCAACGAUACAUAAUAGUCUUCACAUAAGAAAAAAAAUAUUUUUUUUUCUUUUUAUUCUUUUUUUUUUUUUUUACCCUUUAUAUCUUUUUUCACUAUCACGCUCCCUUUCUUACUCUUUUGGCUCAACAAUCGCCCAUGCCCGAUACACUUUCCCACCCUAUCAUCCUUAAAUCUUUUGAUAUCUUCGUCGUGGUCACCAUCCACGACCACACACUCCGCCGCAAACUCACUUCCAUAAUUUAUACCAAAUCCGAACCGGCAUCGGUAGAGAUGGACGAGGUAAGAGAGCGAAGCGUGACGUCAUUGUAGGGACGGUGAAGGAAGAAGAGGAGGAAGCGGAAGUGAGAGCGGGAGUAGAAGAAUAGGAAGAAAUGACAAGAAAGAGAGAGAAGGAGAGGAAGAAACGAUGAUGGAGAUGAACCGAAACGAAAAAAGAAGAAGAAAAGAGCGGGACAUCAAUAAAGGAGCGGUCAAAGAGAAGAAAAAGGGUGAGAAACCAGGUAGAGAAGAAGAGAAAGAAAAGACGAGGAAAGAGAUGAAAUAAAGCGGAAAGAGAAAAACAAAUGAGCAAGAAAAAGAGAAAAAAAUAUAUAUAUAUUUUGAUCAAUUUACCAAAAAUUCAAAUCAAAUGUGCAUUCAAAAUAGUGACCCACUAUUAUAAAACCUCAAAUUGGAGAUUUUUUAUGCAAAUUGGCCAUAAAACAAAUAAAACUUUAUAAUACCGUAUAAUUAUGAAGAAAUGAAAACACGGAGCAAUGCCAAAAGAACAAGAAACAAGAAAAAGAGUCGAACAAUGAUGCGAACAAAGUUCCAUUGUAAACAGUAAUUGAACUGCAAAUUAUGAUUCAGGGCAAAAAAUCUAUACAUGUACAGCUACAGAAAGAUGUAGUUCUAAGAAUAAAUAUCGUUUAAUUUCACACAGCCCUCGCUCCGAUCCGUCAAACAGAUACUAUUUUUUGUUCAUUAAAAUCAGCCUAUUUACCUUUUAAUAUUGGUGGAAUAGACCGUGAAACAGUCGGACCAGAGGUUGGCCUCUUACAACUUUCGGACGAUCCUACAUGCGAAUCAAAACUUGUGCUUCAUGCGUGUUCUUCUUGAUGCAAAUGACUCACGACCUCUCCUUGGUUGUCGAGUGGCAUGUACUGAGCCAUAAUAGCCCUAAUCUCGGAGUCCAUGUAUGACUGAGAGAGAGAGAGAGAGAGUGAGAAUUAUGAUAGUGGGCUAAAAGAAAAAUAUAUGAAUGAAGAGCAACGUGUCAGCAUAUUUACCCUUAAUCUAUACUUGUACACAACAUAUGCUCCUGCCGCAACAGCGGCCAAGAUUAUCGUAAUCACCCAAACAGCAACCCAGGUUGCUUUCGCUUCACUUGCUCUCUUACCUGCAAAUUUUCCAUUCCGAUGGUUAUCAAAUGAUAUUAUUUGCUGGGAGUCAUGGGAUACAACCAAAACCACCUUAUUAUUAUUAAAAAGAAAAGAAAAUAAACUUUUAUGAACUUACUAAUGCAAGUAUCGUGCUCCCUGAUGUACAAAAGGUCUCCGCUGCAGGUGCAAUCGUAGCUUCCCCAUGUAUUUUUGCAGCUGCAUUCAGGGCACUGGCAAGCUUUCUUCUCCUUGCAUUCAUCAAUAUCUGUGAAUGUAAAAGAGAAAUAUAGUUCGACCACUGAUAUGUUGAGCAACCAGAUUUACUUGUUUUGCAUUUCUUCAAAUAAAUGUUUCUAACCAUAUAAAUCUAGAAUAAGGGAAGAGGCCCAUUCUAAGUCAAUUAAGUGGUUAAGCAAGAAUGAUACCUUCACAUGUUUUAACACCGUCGCCUUUGAACCCAGAGGGACAUUGGCAUUUGUUAUCUCCCACUUGCUAAAUAAACCAGAUGAAUAGAUUACAAGAAUCACUUAAGAAAGAGAGAUAAAUAGAUCAAAAGAAUCACUUUAAAAAAGAGCAAUCAAAUAAAGGAUAAGGCAAAAUUGGUCCAGAUUUUGCAGACUUAAUGGAUCUAAACUAACCAGGCAUGCCGAGAAGGUGUUUCUGUCAUG
rnacentral:lncRNA from 1 species